CACAGCUUUCUUAGAUACCCCAUACCCAUCCACACUAAAUCCAUAAAAAAAAUAAAAAAAUAAAACUUUACAAAUUUGAAAACCCUAGCCGCCACAUCAACCUCCACCGCCGCGGCCCACCACCGCCGAUCAGCCAGCCAACACCACCACAAACCUCGCUAGCCACUUCCGACCAAGCCGCAGCGAUCGCUGCCUCAACUGCCGCCUGAACAGCCGCAAAUCACCAACCCAAACCCGCGACUCCACCAAGCAAUCCACCACCAUUCAGCCACUUUCACCGCCAGCCACCUCCACCAACAAACUCGCCGGCCUCCGUUGACCAAAAACCGACCAACUUCAGCCCUUGAUCGCGGCCUGCAGUCACCAGACGAAACGACAACCCACGAGUGCUUCCUACACGCGCCGCCACCAAACCACCACCUUUUUCCGUCAAUUUACACCACCACCAUACUCCCUAGCAGUCGGCGACCGUAAAUCCAGUCGUCCGCCACCGUAAGGUAGCCAUAAACUGAAAGGCAAUUCAAAUCGGAUUUCCGCCAAUUCAAGUUGCUGAAUAUAAAAAGGGCUCAUAUGGAAAUUACCUAAAGUUUCAAAUAUUGUUAUUCAGCAACCAUUUUUAAGUUACGUUAGUUUCUACACAAAUUUUAUAUAAAUAAUUUAUAACUCCCAUUAUUAUUUUUAAAAAAAACUGUAGCAAUUGUGGUUAUGUCACAUGAAAAAAAUUCUAAUUAAAGAAAUUGACAUUAUAAUUUAAGGGAUAGUUGCUCUUUUAAUCAUUAAAAUUUAAGUCAAUUAUCCAGCUUAUCCUUGCAUUCUUAAAAACUAUAUACAAUACCAUUAUCUCUGCUUUUGUAGCUAUUGAAUUCGACUUUCACGACAUAAAUAUUUAUUAGCAACAACUUGAAAUUCAAAGAAACCUAACAUGCAAUGUAUGGUUUAAAAAUAAUAACUAAACAGAUUUUGAUUAUUUAAUAUUAAAAUAUAUUCACAUUAAUAUCAUAAGGAUAUGUGAUACUCAAUUUUUUUUUUAAAAUCAAACCCAAAUUAUAUGUAUUGUUAAUGUGUGUUAUUGUCUAAUGUUUGGAUUUUACUAAGUUAGAACUGUUGUAACUUUAAUUCUCUUAAAAAAAAAAAGUGGGUCCCACCACCUAUUAAAUUUUUUUCAUUAUUUUUGAAAAGACUGUAAAUUACAUUAGCUGUAACUUAACAGCACCCUUAAUAUUUUAAUUUAUUUUUAUACCUUUACAAAACAAUACCAACAAGACAAUAAUGUAUGAAAUAAAUAAAAUAACUAAAUAAAGAACUGAUAGCAAAACUAGACUUAUCAUUAAUUUCUCGUAGUGUGAACUCUUGACAAUCCUCCCCUAGGACCCCCUAUGUUACAUACAUGUAACUUACAAGCCUCUUACAUGAAUAGUGAGUGAUGUAGGCCCACUCACUAUUCAUAUGAGAGGGUUGUGAGUUACAUGCAUGUAACUUAGCAUUAGCCUCCUCACCUAUCCCACCUAAAGCUCUCGCAUGGUGUGAACCUUUGACGAUUUUCCCGUAUCCCUCCAAAAGUUUCUCAUAUUGUGAAAAGCAUGUCAAUUGCAAUGUCGUUUCCCAUUAGUCAUAGUGGCAGAUACGACUAGAAUUUUUUGAAACCCCUGAACUUAUUUUUCCUUUUGAAAAUAAGAAAAGGACACCUGUCUGGAGAAAUAAUUUUGUAGAGCAUCAUGAUAUCGUGCAUAACAGACAAUAAGACUUCUUUUUUUUAAUUAAAAUAUUUUUUAAAUUUAUUAACUAAAAAAAUUAACUCUAAUAAUUUACAAUAAAUAUAAAUAGGAGAUUUAAAUAAAUAUAAUAAUAUAUACAUAUUAAAAUAAUUUCAAUAUCUAAAAAUAUUUUAAUAUUUUACAAUCUCGUAUUCUAUUAAACCAAAUUAUAAUAAAUAGAGACAUAAUAUUCAAAUAAAUAUAUAAAAAUUUAAGUUAUUUUCAAUAUCAUAUAAAAUAAUUUUAAUAUUAUUAAUACACGAGAAAUAUUAUAUUAAUUUUAAAAUCUAUUUAACCUAAGGAUUUAUUUAAAAAUUUUAUAGUAAUUACAAAUAUUUUAAAAAUACAAAUAUAUUAAUUUAAAUUUUAAAAAUUAAUAUUGAAAUUAAUUAUUUAAAUCAUAUUUACGUUUCGUAAAAAAUUUGAAGUCAAUGUUUUUUAAUUACCACCUGCUAAGGGUAUUAUAGUAAACGAGAAUAUUGGUGUUCUUUAUUAAAAAUUUAGGAUCUACAUGACUUUUUUUCUAAAUUUUAAUGGUGUCACUUUAUUUUUAACAAAAAUAAAAUUUCAUUUAAACAACUAAAAUGGUGAAUAAUACAAUACUACAGUGCGUAAGUGGAAGGUAGGAAACAAUCAAAAUGAACAGUCUAACGUUACAACAGGCAUAUAAGGCCAAAGUUUUUUAUAUCCCAAUACAACAAGCUUGAAACUUUGCACCUUCUGAAAUGAAACAAACUUACUUGAAUAUUAGCGAUUAGUGAGAAAAGCCCUUUUUCAAAAGCAACCUGAGGGUACCGAGUGUUACAACAGAUUUAAUGAACCAUAAGUGCUUAUUUACAUUGUAAUAUCUCAAAGUCACCAAUUACUUCUGAUCCGUUAAGGAAAACAAGAAAAAUAAAAGGAAAAGAAAAAGGUUACUUGUGCAGCACAACCUUGACGCCUAGCUACAUGGUAAAGAGAUUCUCUUUGUGCAUUUGAACCAAUCAACAAUAAUGGUGCCUUGACUUCUUGGAUUAGAGAAUUGAAAUCAUUGAUGAUGUUUGGUUCAUAAAAUAGAGGCAGAGAUCCGAAUCAAAAUUAUGGAGACUACUCAAAUGUAGGAAUGAAGAAUGAAAGAUUGAUUUCCAAAGAAGGUGGUUGGAAUCAAUCUUCCAUUCUCAAGAUUGAUCACUUUGCCCCUCUCACAAGCUAUAAAAUGUCUAUUUUGUCCUCAAUUAAAAAAUUAUUAUGAUUAAUUAAUAUAUGUUUAUAAUUAACUAAUAUAAUUAUUCUAAUUAAUUUAUACAUUUUGCAUUUAUUAUUAUUAAAUAAUUAAUAUAUUAUUGUAAUUAAUUAAUAUAUUAUUAUAAUUAGUUAAUAUAUUUUGAAUUUUAUUAUCAUCAUCAUCAUCAUCAUCAUCAUCAUCAUUAUUGUUAUGAAUGAUAAAAAAAUUUACAAUUAAUUAGUGUAUUAAUAUAUUAUUGACAAUAAUUAAUAAUAAUUAUAAUUUUUGAAUAAAUAAAUAUGUAUAAUUAAUUACUGAAUUUGAACAUUUUGCAAUUAUUCUAUUAUUUGGACUUAUCGAGAACUUACAUGCAGAGUAGCUAGUUUGCGAGUAUAUGUAAGGUUUAAUUUGAAUGCAUGCAGCAUUGAGGAGACAACGCAGAAACAAAAUUUUCGCUUGCGAUCUUUUCAUUUCCCUGUUUAGUAACAAACAAGACAGAGGAGAAACAGGGGUUCUCUUUUAAUUCCCCUGUUUUUCUGUAUGAUGAUUUUAAAAUUUUAUGUCUAUAUUUAUCAAAAAAAGUUAUUCAAAAUUAUUAUCUAAUUUUCAUACACGUUGAUUUAUUAAAAAUAAAUUUAAAAACUGCAAUUCUAAACUUAUCAUUGUGCUUUGACCUUGGGGUGGUUUUUCCCUUUUUAUUCGUAGGCCAGAACCUUAAUGAAGAAAGUUUUCGUCGUUAAUUGCUUUUGACCUAGGAGAAUUUAUUACUUUGCCUUUGAUGCGGCUCUUAGAUAUCUAUGCAAUUUGUGUCAUUUACUUUUGCUUUGGAUUCGUUUUUAAAUGAGUCCCGAUUGGUUCAUUGGCAGAUAAAUGAGUCAGUUUUUCUGUUUUAUUUUUUAUUUUUUUGAAGACGGUUUUUCUGUUACGAAGCUUUUCUUGGAUGAAUUUUUUUUUUUUUUAAUUUUAUAGAUUCUCUGCGAAUGCAGUUAGAAGUACCAAGUUUUGUUGGGUAGAAGGGUAUUUAAGUAUUUGCAUUUCAUAUUUUGACAUUUCCUUGACCUUUGAAGCAUUGAAUCAUAGUGUUGGUAUUUAAGUAAAUCUGCCCGCAAUGAAAAAUAGUUCAGAACAGUUGAGGAAGCAUGAGAAUACUUGAGGAGAGCCUGAUAAUAGUUACGGCCGGAUAUGCACUCUUUCCUCUAUAUGUGUCUUCAAUAUAAAUGGCUCAAAUAUAUGCGUUCUGAUCUUUUAAUAUUUCGCCUCUGAUAUUGCCCACAUUGCUUACUGCAAUACAUAAAGCACUUCGCUUACCCCAAAUCCUGAUAGGGAAGUAUAAAUAUAUGCUUCCGAAAUACGUGCAACUCUCCAUAAUUAUUUAAUAUGCCUCUCAAUGAAGCAAUCACCUUCAUUUACAACUCUUCCAUUAUUAAUCGUACAUGCACGUGUUUCUUUUGUCUCUAAAAGUAUUCUCAAUUAAUUUACAUAAUUUAAUAUAACAAGUACCUAAGACUAGACAAAUUAUCAUUACAAUAAAAUGAAUAAAUUGUAAUAGUAUUGACACAAUAAUGUCAAUAAUAAAAACCUUAACAAACCUAUAAAUUUUAGAAUAUGGCUCAAAGUGCUACAAUAAACCACAACAAGUUAUUAUAUCAUCUAUAAUCAAUAUUCUAAUGAUAACAUGGCUCCUUUAUUUUCAAUCCCCUACUUUUCUGUUUAGCGAUUUUCAAAUUUUAUAUUUAAAAUUCUUCUAAUUUUACUUUAUUUAUUAAAAAAAGGGGGGCAGGAGAGAGAGACUCAAAGAGUAUUAAAAAAUAUAAUUCUAAAUUUUCACUUGAGCGUUGUGUGAUUUUUAUUAUUUUUAAAGUUGGCCGUUUAUAUUGAAUAAAGGGAAAUAAUAUUUGGCCACCCUCAGGCCAUAGGGAAGCCAGAAACGAGAUGCUUAGGGCCCGUUUGGUACCGUUUUCAAGGCUUUGUUUUCAUUUUUGUUUCCAAAAUACAAACAUAAUACAUGUUUGGUAGGAUGAAUCCAAAAAUAAAUUAUAAAACAGAGAAUUCGUAUUCGCAUUUACAGUUAUAAAAUUGAGAACGACUUAAACACGUUCUCAAACGAUUACAAAUUAAAUUAAAAAAUGAACCCCAAAACAAAAUCUAAAAGUUAUCUUCCUCUCCCGAAAUCUUAUCCCCUCCCUCUCGUCAUCUCUUCACAGCUCUCCCUUCUUCGUGGCUGUCAUACUUCUCCUUCAACCACAACCCACCUGAACUGUGUACAGAUCUCUCUGUCUCCUCCCUCUUCAUCCAAGUCUACUUCAUAGCUCUCUCACUCUCGGUGGCUGUUACUCGUUCGUCAACCGCAAUCCACCGUCACCACUCUCUCUCUCCAUGCCCAAAAUCGACUGCUGCUCCAUCUCCGCUACUAUUGUUGCUCCGUCUCCGCUGUUGUUGCUUCGUCUCUACUCAAUUUGGACUACUGCUCAUGCUGCUCUUUGCUUCGUCUCUGUUACCAUCUCUACUCGCUGGUACUAGUCUUCAAUUUUUCGAUUUGAGUAAAUUGUGGGUGUGGUUCUUUUUGUUUCUUUUAGAUCCAAAUCAUAUUCAUUUAAUUUUUUAGACAAAUAGGAUGGUCAUUUCUUGAGCUCUGCAUUUGUAUCUUAUUUAAGGAAUGUUAGAGAAAGGAACGAUUUGCUAUUGGCUCGAUUUGUGAGAAAAGAAACACAUAUCUAUUUAGAUGCCCAUAUGAGAAAUAUGAGAAGGAAAGAAAUUAGGAUACUUGUCCAGUGAAUUACAAAAUUCUGUACUUGGUGGCUCCAUAAAAGUAGUUCAAAUUGAAAUUUGAUAGGAAAGCCUUUAAUGGGAAUUGUGCGACAGAGGAAAUAACCUUUUUCUUAGAGUUUUUGAUUUUUUUUUUUACUCAAAAGUCUAUUAAUUCUUAUUUCCUAUAUGAAUUGCAGACAACUUUGUUUAGUUCGCUUGUAUUUUCAUUGAUUAAAAGGGUAUGAAUUUGAUUGAGAAGUGUUUGGCUAAAGUGAAUCUUGGAUGUAUUUAUUAAGUUUAAUGGAACAAUCCUAGUUAAUUUUGAUGAUUUAUACAUGCAUUUAAUGUCAUUUUUAAUAAUUCAUGUGCAGGAAAUAUGGAUUCUUGGCUUUGCUUGGACUUAUGGUUUGCACAAUUUCAUUUGGGAUCAAUAAGCUUCAAGGAUAAGCACUUGUAGUUCAUCCUUUUUUUUUCCAGAUGGGACUUGCUUUUCUUCCAUCCAUCUUUUUAAUUCUCUAUUUAUGUGGUAGCAGUUUUAUGUUUUGUGUUGUUCUGGAAAGUACAUGUUGAAAUUUUGUCAAACCCUGUUGGCGUACUCUAAUCACUUUGCUGCAUGGCGCAAGCAUAAACACUGUUGUUGUUAGAGCUUGUUUACACAAAAUAAGUGUAACUUGAAAGUACAUUGUACACUAUUAAAUUUGAUUUAUCUCCAGCAACUAUUAACGUAUGAUGUCUAUUAUGUAAUUUUUUUAUAAUUAUUUUGUUUAAUUUAUUUGUGUUGUAAUAUGUAACUUAAGUAUACUGUAAAAAUAAUGAUAAUGUCAAACUUUUCCCUAUUAAUGUUAAUACUAAAACUUUAUCAUUAUGUGAUUUUUUAUAAUUAUUUUGUUUAAAUUAUUUAUGGUAAUAUGGUAUGUAUGUAUAUGUAUUAAUUAAACAAUUUUGGUAAAAAUUAUAUUUGAAAAAAGUAUUACCAAACGCAUAUUCUCUGUUUUUAUCAUUUUCAACUGUGUCUACCAAACGCAUAUUACUGUUUUUAAUUUUAAAAUACAGGAUAUAGAAAAUGAUACCAGACGCAUAUUUAAAUUUGAAAUACAGAAACUACAAAACACCAUUUUCAUUUUUAUUUUUAUUCUCAGAAAAUAUAAAUUCAGAAACAAUACCAAACAGGCCCUUAGUGUGCCGUUUUUGGAGCUUUAGAUUGGUAGACUAAAAAAAAACUUUAUCAUUAAAAUAUAUGAUGUUAAAAACAAACUUUACCAUUAAAAUAGAAAAUCUGAAAAAGCCAAAUUCUUUACUAUUCUCUCUCUCCCACUCAGUCACCCGCUCUCCCUCUCACUCUCACCCAGAAGCUCUCUGCCCCUCUCGCCCACGAAGCUCGCUGCACGCCACCCGCGAAGCUCUUGUCACGCCACUCCCAUCACUGACCAGUUGUCUCACGUCGACGAUCAGCCAUCACGCUGUUCACUAUUGGUGUUCAAUUUUUUGGUACUUUUUAUUGUUGGUGUUUGGAUUUUUUGUUGUAUUUAUAUGCUGAAAUUACUAAAAAUAAGUUUUUUGAAAUGUAGAUUUUUUCUGAAUUAUAUAGGUUAAUACAAUAUUUUUUUUCAUGAUAUAGAAAUGACUGAUUUAGAAAAAAAAAAUGUGAAGUUGAUGAUUUGGAAGAAUUAGAUGACAACAAUUUAGAUGGAAACAAUAAAGAAAGUGAUAAUUAAGUCCACCUUCUCAAAGAAAACAAUCAAAGGUUGAGAAGAAAUAUAAAAAGAAAAUUAAGGUAAGAUUAAAAUACUUAGUUAAUUAUUCUACAGUCAAUUUAAUUUUAAUUUCUCUUUUAAUGGACUUGCAGAACUUAAACGUAGAAACACCGUUAUCUUGUGAGAUCGAUACUAUAGUCUCAAUACAGGAGAGCAACAAGGAUUCAGUAAGUUUUGUGUUCUUUGAUGUAAUACUAUUUAAUUCUUUUUAUUUUUAAUGGUCACUAAAUAUGCCAUUGUUGUAUUUUUAAUGGUCACUAAAAAGUUGCCAGUACAUUCUUUAUUUAGGCACCUGUGUUCGCAUGCCAAUACAAGAAUGUGAUAUUUAUCCAUCGUUUCCUUUUGAUUCUUACACUGUAACUUAUAAUCCAAUUUAUAUAUUUUAUGUCUAAUUAAUUUUUCAUUUUUUGGGAUUUAAUAUGGUUCUUAUUUUGUGCUAACUAGCAAUCUCUAUCACUCUCAUCGCGUUCAUCCUUGUUGCCUUAUUCUUCGUCUUGGAUACCAUGUGGAGGAUCUCAACAAGGGAGUUUUCAACAUUUACUACUUCAACAAAAUGACAAUGACAAAGAAGUUUGAAGCGGACAUAACGAAUUAAUCAUUGACUUAGUCUUUUGUUGUAUAAUUUUAGUUGUGGUUUGUGUAUUAGUUGGUUGGAUGAUAUUAUUCUAAUGCUCAAUGAUCGAUGGAGUCAUGUCAUCUUACCUUAUUCUUAAUUGAUUGUGGAAACAUUUUGAACGUUUUUUGUCUAUAUAUUCACAGGUUGAGUAUGUCAAUAUUUUAGGACAGAUUUUGACAAAUCUUUCUUUUAUUUUGUAACCUAAGAAUGAUGCAUGCAGGUUCGUAAACUGAAGAAUUGUUCCAAAGCAAAAAUGAAGGUGAAGUUUUUGUGAAAAUAGUAUUUUAUGACGUAAAUGAAACCUUUAUGACAACAAGAGUAGUUCAAGCAACGUGAAUGGCUUAGAAAUGCCAAAUUAACAAAAACCCAAAAAAUAUCAGGUACAAUUAUUCACUUAAACAAAUUGCAUAACGAAAUUGCCAUUCCUAAAAUACACAACACAAUGGAAAGAAUAAUUCAAAAAUUCCAACAAUCAUUCUUAACUUCAUCAGUUUGUACACUCUUAUCACAUGUUUCCACGUUAGUCUUCCUAGCUUCUAGCGUAAUUGAAGUAGGGAAUUGGGUGUUCAUAUAUGCCAGGCUGACGUGCCUCAAAUACAACGUAAUAGGUAUAACGAGCCUUUAGGUUUCUACAUAUAUUCGAUAAAAAUCAAAUACAAAUGUUGAAGUGUGAGUUGUGUAACUGAUUUUCAAAGAGUUAUACGGCAUGUCAGCUCGUGGUUGUAAUAGCAUAUGACAUGUAGGUUGUAGUGAUUCGAAACCAUUUGACAGUGUUAACUGGUCAUCCAUUUAUAGAAAAGUAAAGCACGUGAUCAUCACAUGCUUUCACUUAUCAACACGACCUGCUGAGUUGCCGUUUUGGAGCCUUCAUCAAACGUGAAACAAACACGUGGCUCAAGGGCUGUUAUAUUCUGUUACAAGGGCGGGAAAAUUCUGGGUUUUGGUUACAGAGGACAGCUGACUGGUGGUGGGGUCUCUUAAGCGUGUAUAUAUAGCCUUAAGAGAAAAGAGAUCAGUGUGUGUGAUGCUUGUAACUUCAUCUAUAAACUCGUAUCUUGUUCCUGGUGAUUGAAUAAAGAUUGUUGCUCUGUUCUUCAGUGGAUGUAGGCCAUCUCCAGGCUGAACCACUUUAAUUCUGUUUCUCUUUGAUUGCUAGUUUUUGUUAGAUUUAUUUGUCACAUUAUGUGGACUGGCAUAAAUCAUUCUAAUUAUUUUCUAUAUUUUACCGAAUUAAUACGUGACUAAUGUCAAAUAUUAUUGAGCAAUUUUGACAGACUCAUUUAUUAAGUGAUCAAAUAUUAUGUUAAUGAGUCUAUUUUGACAUACCCUAUACAGUAGUAUAUUAUGGACAAGUACAUCCUUAAUUGUGUUAUUUUAGCCCAUAAUGGGAUGGGCAAUUUUGUACUAACACAUGAGGGGUCCCUGCGCUCAACCGCUAUAUUUAAGUAACUUCAGCCCAUUGGGAGUUAACUGUUGGAAAAAUCAGUGGCAUGUGUGCAGUGCACCUCUCUCUCCCUCUUCUCUCCCGUGUGUGUGUUUGUGUGUACAGUAACUUAGAGAAGCAAAGCCGAUCCGUGAGCUGAAGCAAGGGAAACUGAAUUCAGAAGCUAGAUCAAGCAAGUAGCAACUCUCUUGAGGCUCCAUAACAAGCUUUCAAGGUCGGAUUCAUGGGAGAUCACGGUAAUUUCGAAAUUCCCUAAACUAUGUGUUUAAUUUGGAAAUGCACGAUUAAGGGCAUAAAGUUUGUUUUUGUUUCAUCAAUUGGUAUCAGAGCCCAUGGUUAUGCAUUUCCUUGUAAACCAUAGUUGAUUUUUUGGUGAAAUCUCACUCAUGGAAUUUUUCCUUUAAUUUCGGAUUUUUCGAAUUUGAGCAUAUUUGAUCAAAUCGUUGUUAAAUAGUGCAUGAGUGAUGAUUUUGGAGCAAAGAUAUAAUUUUUCCGUGAUUUUUGGUGACCAAAAUCGGGAUGGUAUGAAUGAGGUUACUGUAAAUUCACUGUAGCAACACUGUUGAGACAUCCCGAGGUUGAAGAUGACAUGGUGGGAUAAUUUCGUUUGGAUCCCUCAUGUAUAAGUGGAAGGAUGUCCAUGCACGAUUAAGGGCAUGGACAUCAUUUUGUUAUUGUUUCGAAAUUCCCACUGACUUAGCAUAUAUAAGUGGAUUCAAAUAAUCCCAUAUGCGUCACAUGCUCCUUAAAUACUUUUGGAGCUAAAGCUUUAGUUAGUGGAUCGGCUAACAUGAGUUCUGUAGGAAUAUACUCUACUGAUACACAAGAUAGAGCAAUUUUCUCUCUCACAAACAAGUAUUUAAUAUCAAUAUGCUUGGAAUGUGAGGAACUCCCUGUGUUGUGAGAAAAAGAAACAGCCGCAGAAUUAUCACAGUAUAUUUUUAAUGGCCUCGGUACGGCCAAUAUACAAUCUAGCCCUGUGAUAAAAUUCUGCAUCCAUAAAGCAUGACGUGUAGCCUCAAAACAUGCUACAUAUUCUGCUUCCAUUGUUGAAGAAGCUAUGAGUGUCUGCUUGACACUUUUCCAUGAUAUAGCUCCUCCUGCCAUCAUAAAGAUGUAACCUGAUGUGGAUUUCUUGUCUUCCAAGCACCCUGCAAAAUCAGCAUCAGAAUAUCCAACUAUAUUCAAAUAGUCAGAUUGCUGAUAUGUCAAUACAAAAUCUUUAGUGCCCUGCAAAUAUCUGAGUACUUUCUUUGCAGCCUUCCAGUGUUCAAAUCCAGGAUUGCUCAGGUAUCUACCAAGUACUCCCACUGGAAAAGCAAUAUUAGGGCGAGUACAGACUUGAGCAUACAUCAAGCUACCCACAACGGAUGCAUACGGGACUGUUGACUCCUCUGAGUUGCUACUUGCUUGAUCUAGCUUCUGAAUUCAGUUUCCCUUGCUUCAGCUCACGGAUCGGCUUUGCUUCUCUAAGUUACCGUACACACAAACACACACACGGGAGAGAAGAGGGAGAGAGAGGUGCACCGCACACAUGCCACUGAUUUUUCCAACAGUUAACUCCCAAUGGGCUGAAGUUACUUAAAUACAACGGUUGAGCGCAGGGACCCCUCAUGUGUUAGUACAAAAGUGUCCAUCCCAUUAUGGGCUAAAAUAACACAACAAUUAAGAAUAUAUUUGUCCAUAAUAUACUACUGUAUAGGGUAUGUCAAAAUAGACUCAUUAACAUAAUAUUUGAUCACUUAAUAAAUGAGUCUGUCAAAAUUGCUCAAUAAUAUUUGACAUUAGUCACGUAUUAAUUCGGUAAAAUAUAAAAAAUAAUUAGAAUGAUUUAUGCCAGUCCACAUAAUGUGAGAAAUAAUCUAACAAUCUCCCACUUGGACGACAGAAAUCACUCUAAUGAUAAGUUUAAAAUAAAAUAAUAUUUUGAAAACAACCGAAUUAAUCAAUAUAUGACUAUAGCAAAAGGUCAAAUACAAGCAAUCACCCAAAACAUAAAUAAGUCCAAAAUGUGCCAUAAAUAUCAAAUCAUAUGUGCACCGACAGGAUGCUCCAUAUAACCUCUCCAUCCUCUAUAUAGAAAUGUGACCUAACCGUUUAUGCCACAACAUAAAGGAAUUUUCAUCAAUCCUGGCACGAUUAGAGCUAACAACAUGCAUAACAUGAGCAUUGGAUGAAGAUUCAACAGCACGAGAACAUACAUCAAUCAUAUAUAAGCCAUCAUAUAGAGUGCCAGAACCAACUAACUCUGAAUUGCGGAAUAAGUAAAUUUUCUGUCACCAAAAUGAAAAGUAUAGCCACAUCUAUCAAAAAUAGAUACAGAUAUCAAGUUUCUCCUAAUAGAAGGAAUAUAAGGUAUAUCUAAUAAAUCCAAAACAUGGCCUGUGGCUAGAUGUAAGCUGACAGCUCCUAUGCUUUCAACUUUGGCUGUCACUCCAUUGCCCAUGUGAACUAUCAACUCCCCUUCAUUGGGCUCCCUCCUGCUUCUGAAUUCCUGUAAGGAAUUCGUUAUAUUAAUGGUUGCACCAGUAUCCAACCACCAAGUAUCAGAAGGAACAUCAAUUACACUAGAUUCAAAGCCUACAAAGGCUACAGGAAUACCUUUCUUUUCCAACCAUGCUUUGAAUCAUCUGCAAUCAGCUCUUUUGUGCCCAGGUUUUUUACAAAAGUGGCACUUUCCCUUAAAGCUCUCAGAAGGGGAACCAGAAGUGGUAGAAGACUGACCACGUGAAAAUUUCUUUCCAAACUUUUUCUUCUUGAAAAACUUAUUACUGGUCUUUGAAGAGCUUUUCUUCACACUCCCACUCUCUUGAGUAGUUGUCAGCAUGACAGUGUGAGAUUUCCCCUUUUUCAAUGAUUCCUCUUCUUGAACCACAUAAGCAGUCAACUCAGUGAUAUUCCAAGUAUCUCUCUGAGCAUUGUAUUGGCUUCUCAAAUUGCCAAAUUGUGGUGGAAGAGAUUCAAGAAUUUGGAAGACCAGGUAGUCAUCAGGCAGAUUGACAUCCAUGUCCUUUAGCUUCUUAUGGUAAUUGGUCAUCUUAAGGAUGUGCUUUCUGACCCCAGAAACACCAUCAUACUGAGUAUUAGCAAGCAGCCUCAGAUAGUUACCCUUUUCUGCCUUAUCUACCUUCUUAAAAGUUCUUCCAACAGCUGCCAAGUAAUCUUUGGCCUUGUCACAUACAGGGAUGCUAUCUCUCGUUGUUCUAUCAAUGGUGUAUUUCAUUGUAUCCAGACAGUGUCUAUUGGAUUCAUCCCAAGCUGCCCACUCUGCUUUUUCAGCAGCAGUGCUCGUAUCUGUGGGCUUGGCUGGUUCAUCAACUCUUAAUGCCAAGUCUCUAUUCGAUGUAGACAGAUAAAACAAAAUGGACUCAUGCCAGUCCUCAAAAUUUGUCCCAGUUAAAUUCUUGAGGGAGGCUACUUGGAGAAAUGAGAGAAUAUCAAGAGCUGAGUCUGAUCGUACCAUUUAUUUUGAGAAUGAUCACAAUGGUGUGGGUUUUGAGCCUCGCAGUCUCACAUUAAGAGAAGAACGUGUGGUUUUGCCUAUUCGAUCUUUUCUGACUUCUGCGAUGGGAUUACCACAUAUUGAUGAUUCUUCUAUUGACCCUGAACUUCAUCAUGAUAUGGAGCCUAUGACUGUAGAGGAUGAUGGUACUGAUGUGCAAUUGAGGAGAUCAGAGAGGAUCAGGAGACCUGCAAUUUCUGAUGAUUAUGUUGUUUACUUACAGGAGCAUGAUUUUGAUGCUGACUCUUCAUCUGAUCCUGUUACCUUUCAAGAGGCCAUCAGUUGUUCAGAAUCCUCAUCUUGGCUACAUGCGAUGCAUGAUGAGAUGGCAUCUAUGUAUCAUAAUGGGGUUUGGGAUUUAGUUGAGUUACCAGAUAGAUGCAGACCAAUUGGUUGCAAAUGGGUUUUCAAAACCAAGAGAGAUGCCAGAGGUCAGGUAGAGAGGUACAAGGCCAGGCUUGUGGCUAAGGGUUUCAGUCAAAGAGAAUGCAUUGAUUACACUGAAACCUACUCUCUUGUUUCUACCAAAUACUCUUUUCGUAUUAUCAUGGCAUUGGUAGCUCAUUUCAAUUUAGAAUUGCAUCAGAUGGAUGUGAAGACAUCUUUUCUCAAUAGGAGCUUGUCUGAAGAUGUGUACAUGGUGCAACCUGAUGGUUUUGUUGAGACAGGUAGAGAAAACAUGGUGUGUAAGCUUAAAAGGUCCAUUUAUGGACUUAAACAUGCAUCCAGACAGUGGUAUUUGAAAUUUCACGAUAUUGUCACCUCUUAUGGGUUCCAGAAGAAUGUUGUUGAUCAGUGUAUAUACUUGAAAGUCAGUGGGAGCAAGUAUAUCAUUUUGGUGCUUUAUGUGGAUGAUAUCUUGCUCGCUGCUAAUGACACUAAUGUUUUACUUGAGACAAAGUAAAUGUUGUCAUACAGUUUUGAUAUGAAAGAUCUUGGUGAAGCCCAUUAUGUAUUAGGGAUAGAAAUUCUUCGUGACAGAUCUAGAGGAAUUCUAGGUUUGUCUCAAAAGACUUACAUUGAUCGCAUUUUAAAAAAGUUCAUUUACAGUCUUGUGCUCCUGGGAAAGCUCCAAUUUCGAAAGGUGACAAAAUUUCCAAGUCUCUAUGUCCCGAUAAUGAUGUAGACAAAGCUAGGAUGCAAACAGUCCCGUAUACGUCCGUUGUGGGUAGCCUGUUGUGGACAUGAGGACGAACACUGUUGAGACAUCCCGAGGUUGAAGAUGACAUGGUGGGAUAAUUUCGUUUGGAUUAUUCUUAAAUUUAAAAUUCUGAAAAAUCGCCAAAAUUUAAAGGAUUUUGGACUAAACUGCAGAAUUUUCAGAAUUAUGCUUAUUGUUUUAAAUAUUAAAACUUUUGGCCCAAAGUGUAAAUAAAAUAAAAUAAAAUAAAAUAUUGGGCCAUAAUAUAAUUUACCAAAAUUUAAGGGACCAACUGAUCUUUUACAAAGUUGACCCUCGGUCAAGGACCAUUUCAAAAAGUUUGCAAAUAUUUUGGGCCAUAGUGACAUUUCACAAAGUUUAGGGAUCCAAACGAAAUUAUCCCACCAUGUCAUCUUCAACCUCGGGAUGUCUCAACAGUGUUGCUACAGUGAAUUUACAGUAACCUCAUUCAUACCAUCCCGAUUUUGGCCACCAAAAAUCACGAAAAAAUUAUAUAUUUGCUCUAAAAUCAUCACUCAUGCAUUAUUUAACAACGAUUUGAUCAAAUAUGCCCAAAUUCGAAAAAUUCAAAAAAUUCAAAAUUAAAGGAAAAAUUCCAUGAGUGAGGUUUCACCAAAAAAUCAACUAUGGUUUACAAGGAAAUGCAUAACCAUUGGCUCUGAUACCAAUUGAUGAAACAAAAACAAACUUUAUGCCCUUAAUCGUGCAUUUCAAAAUUAAACACAUAGUUUAGGAAAUUUCGAAAUUACCGUGAUCUCCCAUAAAUCCGACCUUGAAAGCUUGUUAUGGAGCCUCAAGAGAGUUGCUACUUGCUUGAUCUAGCUUCUGAAUUCAGUUUCCCUUGCUUCAGCUCACGGAUCGACUUUGCUUCUCUAAGUUACUGUACACACAAACACACACACGGGAGAGAAGAGGGAGAGAGAGGUGCACUGCACACAUGCCACUAAUUUUUCCAACAGUUAACUCCCAAUGGGCUGAAGUUACUUAAAUACAGCGGUUGAGCGCAGGGACCCCUCAUGUGUUAGUACAAAAUUGACAAUAAAAUUUAGAACCCCUUGAGCCUAUACAAUAGCCAAUAAAAUGACCACUAAUGGUUUUCGGAUCAAGUUUCCUCGAUUGUGGAUUAUAGGGCCUCACUUCUGCUUUGCAUCCCCAAACAUGGAAAUGAUAAAGACUAGGUCUCUUCCCUGACCACAACUCAUAAGGAGUUUUAGGCACCGAUUUACUAGGUACCUGAUUCAAAAUGUAAGCUGCAGUUCUUAAGGCUUCACCCCACAGAAAAUCUGGUAAGGUGGAGUUACACAGUAUACACCGCACCAUGUCAAGAAGGGUACAAUUUCUCCUUUCUGUAAUUCCAUUCUGUUCAGGAGUCUCGGGCAUUGGUAUAUUGGGCUUCUAUUCCACAUUCCUAAAGAAAUCGAGCAAAAGGUCCAGGAUUACGCCCAGUUUCAUCAUAUCGCCCAUAGUACUCACCACCUUUGUCUGAUCUUACUGCUUUAAUUUUCUUGCCCUUUUGGAGCUCAACAUUAGCCUUAAAGGCUUGAAACACAGAUAAAGAUUCAGACUUUUCAGCAAGAAGUUCAACAUGACCAUAACGAGAAAAGUCAUCGAUGAACGUGAUGAAGUACUUAUAACCUCUAAUAGCAAUAGGAGUAAAUAGCCCACAAAUGUCUGUAUAUACCAACUCCAGCACCUGUUGACUCCUCUGAGUUCUCUCUUUUUGAAUCCACUCAUAUAUGCUUGAUAAUCCUUUUGUUAUUGCUUCCUCAGCUCAUUCUCUCAAACAGUUUUAGCUUCAUUUCUGUUUCUUUUACGAUUGCUUAAGUGUUUCUUUAUCAAAUAUCAGAGUGUUUAGAUAAAUCUUGGGGAGUCUUGGUUGAUUAAUUUCGAUCAAGGUCUAACAACAAAUUAGCAACAUAAAGAGAAAAAGAACAGGAUGGAUUCUAUUUUUCUAUUAUAUGACUUGUGUAUUGAUCAUCCUAAACUUAAUAGAAAUUAAUUAGAACAACCCAAAAAAUAGUUAGACUACCAGCAUAAGCUUAACAAAGAUCGAAAAGCAAACCCUUUAGCUAGCUUAAAUAAAAAUUUUCUAUUUAAUUUCUCAGCUACCAAACAAUAAUUCCCAGAUAUGUCUAUCAAUUAAACAUGCAUGCAUGCAGGCCCCAAAAUAAAUUUAAACACAUAAUGGUGCUUGCUAGACCCUGGAAAUAUAACACUUUAAAAUCAUGACAAACCAUGGAACAAAAGCAAAAGAGUUCGUCAGAUUAGCAUAUAAUAAUUAAAAAAAAAUCCCACAUAGACAUACUUCAUCAAAUCCCAUAGAUUUAAUAAAUAAAAGAACAAACAAAAUCUACAUUUCAGAUCCAGAAAAAAAUCAAAAACUGAACAUCAAUAGUACCAAAUCUCGCUAGUCGUCGACGUGGAACAACUGGUCGGUGAUGGGCGUGGCGUGACACAGAGCUUCACGGGCGUGGCGUGCAACGAGCUUCGUGGGUGAGAGGGGCGGAGACCAGAGAGCUUCUGGGCCUGAGUGACAGAGAGAGAGCGGGUGACUGAGUGAGAGAAAGAGAGUAGUAAAGAAUUUAGCUUUUUUAGAUUUUCUAGAUCUACUUUUAAUAUAAUAUAUUUUAUUGGUAAAGUUUGUUUUUAAUAUAAUAUAUUUUAAUGAUAAAGUUUGUUUUUAGUCUACAUAUCUAAAGCUCCAAAAACGGCACACUAAGCAUGUCGUUUCUGGCUUCCCUAUGGCCUGAGGGGGGCCAAAUAUCAUUUUCCUUGAAUAAAUAAAUAAUGAAUAGACGUUUGGACCACUUCUUUUCUGUUAUAAUAAAACAUGAGAUGUCUUCUCUUGAUGUCUUCGUCACAAAAGAACUGUUUAUGUCAUCUUAGGCUUAAAUGGGGUAAGUAAAUUAAGAUUAAGGACAAGUUUGUUUAAGCACUAAAGUAGUAAAGUCGCUAAAUAAAAGAAAGGCUCGUAUAAAAAUCACCUGAAGCACCAAAUAUUAUUAUUCAACUACGUUUAUAUUACAUUAGUUUCUACGCAAAUUUAUAUAAAUAAUUUAUAACUCCCAUCAUUAUUAAAAAAAAGAAAAAACUGUAGCAAUUGUGGUUAUAUCACGUGAAAAAACUAAAAAGAUUGACAUUAUGAUUUUAGGGAUAGUUGCUGUUCUAAUCAUUACAAUUUAAGUUAAUUAACCAGCUUAUCCUUGUAUUCUUAGAAAGUAGAAACUAUAUAUAGCUCCAUUAUCGCAGCUUUUGUAGCUAUUGGAUUCGACUUUCAAAACAUAAAUAUUUAUUAGCUACAACUUAAAAUUUAAACAAAUCUAACAUGUAAUGUGUGAAAUAUAAAAAGCAAUUAAAUAGAUUUUGAUUGUUUAAUAUUAAAAUACGUUCACAUAAAUAUCUUAAGUGUAGGUGAUACUCAAAUAGUUUUUCAAAAAUCAAACCCAAACUCAAGGCAUUAUCAAUAUGUAUUAUUGUCUAAUAUUUUAUUAUUACUGUAUGUUUACCAUCAUAAGACAAUAACAUAUGAAUAUUAAGUAAAUACACAGAGAACCAACAAUGAAAUUAGGUCUAUCAUUAGUUUCCCGUGGAGUGAUUUUUUGACAAUCCUCCCACAUCACACCAAAACCUCUCACACGGCGUGAACUUUUGACAAUUCUCCCAUAUCCCACUAAAAAUUUACCAUGUUGCGAAAGAUAAUGUCAAUUGCAAUGUCAUUUCCAUUAGCCAUACCGGCAGUUCAAUUUAUCCUAAUUAUUUCAAAAUUUACCCUUGUUAAAAAUAUAAAAAAUAUUUUUUUUAUCAUUUUUUUUCUCUCACAAGCUCAUGAAAAUUCUCCUCUUCUAUAUCACUUUCUUGAAAGUUAAUCCUUAAAAAAAAUUCUCAAAUUGAAAUUGUCGAGUUGAAGGAACAACGUGAGCAUUGUAGUGAGAGUUUGGCAAAGAAGAGAUCCAAGCUCCCUGCUGCUUCAAAACCAUCUACCGCGGCGGCUUAGAUACAAAACUAAGCGUUGUCAGGGCUGAAUACUUUUUGUAGGAUGAGAUAAUUUUGAGUGCUCGACUUUAAGGCCGCCUAUUUUGAUUUUGAUGGCAUGUAACAGAUUCAACAAUUAGACAUUUUGUUAUUUGAAUUGUUGAAUAAUGAACUUAUUUCUUUCAUUGGUUAUUCUUGUGGUUGCUUUUAUAAAAAAAUAAAAAUAAAAAUAAAAUUCACGCGUUGCAGUUAGUCUCUGAUUAAUGGUGAUCAAGAUGUGAUGUGAUGGCAGUGAUGGUAGUGAUGAAAAUAGAUGUUGAGUGAAGAUGAUGGUAGAUAAAGACAGAAAGCAUAUGAGGGAGAAAAAAAAUUAUUUUUUAUCUUUUUUAAAAAAAAAUUCUAACUAAAGUAAUUUAAAACAAUGAAUUAAUUUAAGAUAUGGGAGCUAAUGAGAUCAAACGAGAGGGUUAAAUAUCAUUGCUCUUUUAUCUGUGUUUUGUCUCUUUAUGAUUUUUAAAAAAAUAUUAUUUUUCUUUAAGUUUCAACCUUAGAAUUUCAUGGGUUAGCGUCUCAUAUUUAAGGAAAAAUGUGAUAAUAUUCAAUAAAGGUAGGGUCCUAUGUCACCUAAACAAGAUUUUGCAAUUAUUAAAUAUAUCAAUUAAAGAAUCACUCUUAUCACUCAAAGCAAGUUGGUUACAGUAGCAGCUUCGACUUUCACCGACCAGGCUGGGUUAUCAGCCGGUUAACAGAGCUACUUACAACCCUUCUAAUUUGAUCAAAAUGGGGAUUUAGAGAGUGUCUAAUGACUCAUUGCAAAUCUUUUAAACAGGUCUAGUGUUCUGGUCCUUUUCUCUAGUAUUGGAAGGUUUAGGGUUCGUUACUCUUUACUGUUAAAUUUAAUAGCUUAUGCUCUGCUUUGUUGUAUGCGUUUUCUGCGACGGUCAUUUUGCUAUGAUUAAUCUUGCUUCUUUGAUCCAAUCUUGAUUAUUUGUGUGAUUUCUCUUGAUUAAAGGGUGUUGAUUGAUCAUCUAGCAAUUAUUAUUAUUAUUAUCAUCAUCAUCAUCAUCAUGCUCUUCCAAAACAGAGAAAAUAAAAUAAAAAGGAAAGGAGAAAACGAUUGAGUCUACAACCCAGAAGAAGAUAAAAUAAGCUUAAUGGGAAAUAGAAGGGAAAUUUAUAAGAAUAGUCUUAAAAUUUUUACAAUAUUUGAAUUUAACCCACCUAAUUUUUUUUAUCAUAACUAGCCAAACACCUUAUUUUUGGACUAAAUUACGCUCAGCGCUUUCAUCAAAUUUACAAAUGCAUGCCACUCGAUAAAAUCCAACACAACUAUAAUGCUCUCAAUAAAUCAACAAAUUUCAUCAAACAAACAUUGCAUAAUUGAAGAUAUAAUCAUGAAUUGGAGAACUUCUUAAAAUUAGUUUAUGCUCUUACACAAUAUAAACAUUUAAUCUAUUGAUUUUAUCAACUAAGUUUGAAAUAAAAGUAAGUUUUGUUACAAAUGUUGUUAUUUUUCAUUCGUAAAAAAAUGUGAUUUGUUAAAGUACUUAGUUUGAGUUGAGAAAUGAAGAAAAAUAAUUACAAACACAGAAAAAUCGGGCAAAAAAUGAAGUUCAGAACAAGAAAGACAAGCAGUGGGACAGGUGCAUGUCACACAUAAACCUACUGAUUUUAUGGAGUAUAUGAUUUUAGAUUUGAUUUUUCUCGUCGUAAGCUUCGAAACGGUAUAUUAUAUGCCUAAAACGGACACAUAUAGCCCAAGUUAUGCCUUUCGAAAAAUAUAUGAAAUUUAGUGAGACAUGCACCUAUCCUACUGUCUGUCUCACUAAUAUGUGACGAUUAAGAAUAGGAUAUGAGCACACUAUCAAAAACUCUAUUAGAGAAUGAAAAUCCACUUUAAUAUAUGAGGACAGCUCUUGAGUAUAUAUUUUGAUAUUUUGAAAUCUGCAAAUAUAAGUGGAACCUCUCUACAGAAAUUGGAUGAAAUUUUCAAAAACAAAGAUUUAAACUUCUUUAUGACUUACACUGCAGGGCCUUGCUGCAACUUUGUUGAAAAGAAGUUUUUAUAAUGAUCUUGAAUCCAAUUCAAGAUGUUGCAGAUAAGCCUCAAAAUUUGGUGGUAAAGCCAACGACAAGCAUUCAUAAACUUUCUGCAAUAUGAUAACAACAGUGCAACUCCAAGCAAUGUAUAUAACGAUUUUAGCAAUGGGUGUGUGAAAAAUAUGGAGACCAAUGAGACUGCCGAAAGAGAUCCCAAGAUAAUAGCAACAAGCCCACAGAGUUGUGAAGAAUUUGCUUGAUCACAUUGAGACUUAUAAUCAUGGGCUACAAAUGCAACGCCAUGAAAUAUUAUGGCUAGAGAAACCACAUAAGCUUACUCUAUGGCCAUAAACAAUUUAGUUGUGCCUUGCACGUUUGCGCACAGACAACAGUGGCAAGCCAAGGUCAGAAAUAAAAUGGCCAUCUCUGAAAAUUAUCAAAAUUUAUAAAUGAAUAGGUUAGUAUUUUUAUGAUUUUACUUACUAUAUAUGUCCCUUUGGGGUAGUUCGAUUGAUUGUCAAUGCACUUUACGGUAACCCUAGUUCGAUUUAAAGUACGAGGUAAAAUUUAGUAUGUCGAGAAUAAGGUACACUCAAAAUUUUAAAAUAAUUGUCACUACGCACUAUCCUAACAUACAAGUACAAACAAGGUUUCAAGAAACAUAUGCUCCCAAUCUUACAAUUCCUUGUGUAUUUUAAAGCGUCCCCUGUUUAAGAACAAAUGCUACAAUAUCCACAAUUCACUGCAAAUAGGAUCGUAUGUGACCUAAACAAAAUUCUGCAAUUAUUAAAUAUAUCAAGGAAUCCACACUAUCACUUGAUGCAAGUUAGUGAUAGCAACAGCUAGCUUUGACUUUUGUUGACCAGAGCAGUGAUACAAGCUUACUAACAAUAACAGAGCUAUUUCCAGAACUGGUAUCUUGAUCAAAUUAGGGAAUUAGAGUGUCUAAUGACUAAAUGUGAAGCCUGGAAAGAGGUAAAUUCAUCUGGGUUCUUUUACUAUGAUUGUGUCUUGUGGCAUGAUUCCGGUCAUGUCUCCUCGGACAGCUUAUUUUCAAUUUUCAAUAAAAUAUCCAUCUUGGGACGUAUUUUAAAGUCAAAUUUUGGGUUCAUGAAUUUUAAUAUUGGAAAUUUACAACUGUCCACCUGUUUGUUUUGUCUUUUUCAAAAAUACACAAACACUUUUUUUUUCAGCGUGCCAUCUGAAGUUUGCUUUUUAUUGCAUUCAUCCACUUCCGUCUAAUUUUCAUUAGCAAAUUUAACGGAAUGUUAACGAAAUGACCUUUUCUCAAAAUUACAAUUUAACCCAAAAUAAAUAGAAAUUAGAGAUAAAUUGGAUGGAUUUAAUUUUUUUUCAAAUGUGGAUGCUAGAAAUUGGAGGAAAAUAAUGUUUGUUACUAAAUUUAGAAAAUUUGUAUUUAUUUUUCUCUUUCAAAAAAAUAAAUACAAAUUUUCUAAAUUUAGUAACAAAUACUAUUUUCCUCUAAUUUCUAGCAUCCACCUUUGAAAAAAAAUUAAAUCCAUCUAAUUUAUCUCCAAUUUCCAUUUAUUUUGGGUUAAAUUGUAAUUUUGAGGGGUAAAAAGGUCAUUUCGUUAACAUUCUGUUAAAUCCACUAACGGAAAUUAGACGGAAAUAGACGAAUGUAACAAAAAAUAAACUUUAGGUGGUGCGCUGAAAAAAAAAAAAAAUUGUGUAUUUAAAAAAAAAACAAAACAAAUAGAUGGACCAUUGUAAAUUUUCCUUUUAAUAUUAUUAAAAAUACAUGAGCUAUGUGACACAUAAAGAGGAAGGGAAAUUUACGAAAAUAAUCAUAAAAUUUUUACUAUUUUCACAAUUAACCUUCUUAAUUUUUUUCAUUCAACAUUAACCAAACACACGCUUUUCUCCCCAAAUUACCUUUCUUUACAAACCAAAAGCAACUUUCUUUCUCCAUUUUCGUCAAACCAAAAGCAUCUUUCCACUCUUAAAUUAUCAACCAACGGCGACGGCAAAAGACAACGAUAAAAGUAAAAUCCAAUAAUAAUCUAUCUAGAUCCGACACUAAUCGGCAUCACAUAGUGGUAUGAGUUAUUUUCUGAACUUAGAGUUUCAGUGAACUGCGAGUCAGAGUGAAUCUGGUGACAGACUGCCUGUCGCACGAAGAGCUUACUUUCUUUUGUUUUUGGGUACACCAGGAGAGAGCUUUCGGAGGUACCGAUUAUCUUAGGCAGCUUAGUAUGUAUUUGUAAAUAGUAGAUCUCAGAUCAGAUUUUGUCCUCUCGAUAGUUGGUUAUUAUCUGCAAUAAGCCAUUCAAUUUUCGCCGCCAGAUAUCUCAUUUAUACAUUACACUUCUUGAAUCUGAAUCCUCUCGAUAGAUUAAGUAGACACUAUAUUUCGAACAUGCUUCAAAGACAUAGCAUAUCAAAAGCACUUGAAAACUUUCUCAUCUAUCCAGGAUUGAGUCGAACUUUUGUCAUCCUUGAAAAUUGAUUUUUUGAAAAAAAAAAGAAAAAAGAAAAUGGCAUGAAUUUCUUUUAUUAAACUAUAUACCCCAUUGUAGAGAGAGCAAAAAUUAAAGCAAAAACGUUGGCAUAAUAAUAAACUAAAGAAUGCUAAGAUUUCUAUCCAAAAUCAAAUUAUGCAUCUUCGAACUGGUAAAUAAUAGGCAUUCCUUUGUCAGCUCCGGCCGCCAUUUUCAUCUAAUGCUUCUUCGACCACUCGUGAUUCUUCUUUUCCUUCUCACUACUAAACUUCUUCCCACCUGCCGCGCAGUAUGACUUUAUAUUUCGCUUCUUCUUGUUGAUCUCAUCAUCAAUCUCAUAAUUAAGCUUCCUCGUCAUCAUCAUAAAAUCUCGUUCACUCAGGCACACUCCGAUAAUUUCCAACGUUACUUCUGCUUCAAUACGUGAUCAUCAACAGUGAUAACCGAUGAGGGAUGGACCGCCGCCGACGAGUGCUGAAGUUGCCGCCGACGCCGCCGACAAUGGGAGGUUCUUCGGUUUGGGAGAGAUUGGAGAGAGAGAGAUUGUUGGGGGAGAGAUGAGAGAGAGGGAUAUUUUGGUCUCAAAGGCUUUUUUAUGGCUAAUGUUGAUAGAAGUUUGUUUGGGGGGUUAAGAUGGAAAAAGUCAAAAUUUUUAUGGCUAUUGGUGUAAAUUUCCCAAAGAAGAAAGCGUGGCAGGUGAUACAAAAAAACAGAUUAUGGUCAAUAUAGGAAAAUGACGGUCACAUGGCGUUUCAGUGAAAUAUUGCAUUCCAAUAAUGACUUUGAUAGUGAUUGCUUCACCAGGCAAUCUUUAUAUUUUUACUUUAUAUUUUUAUUUUUUUUUAAUUUAUUAGUCUGUGAUUUAAAGUUGGGUUAAUUACUUCUCAGUCACACAUGUUUUGAUAAAUUUUAAAAAGAUGAUACAUAUUUUAAAAAUACUCGAACGGGUGACAAACCAUUAAUUUUACGUAAAAAGUAAAUUAAUUAAAAAAUAAUAUUUUUAUCCUUAGAAUUAAUUAUAAAAUGACAUUUAUACUCUAUAAUAGCUACAAAAUGACAUUUAUAUCCCUACAAUUAGUUACAAAUAUGUUUUUACCCCUAUUCAAUUAUUUUUUAUUUUUUAAAUAGAAAAAUUAUAAAAAAAUUACAUCUAAGUAUAAUUAAUGGGCUUUUUUUGGUUAAAUCAUACAAUUUUUUUUAAAAUUUCGUGCUGAAUCAAAAAAAAUUUCUUAUUAAAUUUAAUGACAAUUUUUUAGUCAACAAGAAAUUUGUUUGAUUUAACAAAAAAAAAAGUCCGGUAAUUACACUUAGAUGAAAUUUUUAUAAUUUUUCUAUUUAAAAAAUAAAAAAAAAAUUGAGUAGGGGCAAAAACGUGUUUUGUAAUUAAUUGUAGGGAUAAAAAUGUUAUUUUGUAGCUGUUAUAGGGACAUAAACAUAAUUUUAUAAUUAAUUAUGGGCUAAAAUAUUAUUUUGUAAUUAAUUUACUGUUCACGUUAAAGUUAACGAUAAAGUUAAUGGUUUGUCAUCCACUCAAAUAUUUUUAAAACAUAUGGCACUUUUUUUGAAAUUUGUCAAAACAUGUAUUACCCGGAGAUAAUUAAGCCUUUAAAGCUUUAAACAUGGCUGCCUCAAGCUUAUUCUAAUAACACAAAACAUAAGCAACGAAAUAUCAACGCACGAAUUGAAAGAGAACAUUUUACCAAAUUAAUGGACAGUCUCGUAACUAAGGUUUACCCUCUUCUAUGUUAAAUUCUAAUACACAAAUUCGCCGAGAAAAGUAAAUUCUAAAUUAUUUAACGUAAAAGAAUAUCUAGUAAAAUUAUAAUACUUGAAAUAACGAAAACAACAAAAAUGAUAGUGAAAUGUUCUGGAAUGAAAGAUAAAAACUCAGGGGGGAAAAAUCUGAAAAAUAAUAAAAUAACUCAUGGUUCCAAAGGCCCAAAACAAAUCCUUUGCCUUCGCCUUUAAUUAGGUAUAGUUCUUUUGCUUUGUCUUAACAUUUUAUAAUUUACACACCCCUGUAAAUUAAAAAUGAAGCCAUAUAUCUUGUUUUGCGACAAAUUUACAUAUCCAUAUAGAAUAGAUUAAUUAGCUAAUGAAAUGAAUUAAUAAAAGAAAUAAAGAAACAUAUGAAGAAAGAAAGAAGAGAAUUUAGCAGAGAGAAGAAGAACUUCGGCUUCUUCUUGUUCACUUCAUUUUUCUCUAUACUACAAAACAAAACCUAGGUAAUGCUCAUGUUUAUAUAAAACAAUGGGGUGAAAGGUGUCAUUUUCAUUUGUUUAUAAAUGUGGAAUCCAUAUCUUCAGAUUCUACAAUAUUUACAACACUCUCCCUUAGAUUCACAAUUUCUUUAAAUAUAAUUUUAUACUGUAAAGAUUUAAACUUUUACAUUUGCACUACUAGCCAUUGGAUAGAUGAAUGUUAGCUUGAAACUAAGGUAUUGAAGAAAAAUGGCCUCAAAGUUUCGUGGUAAAUCCAACGACAAACAUACAUAUACAUGUUGCCAUAUUGACACACAACAAUGAUAAUAGAAGCGCAACCCAAUGCAAUGUGGCAAAUGAUUUCAACAACUGAAUGAGUGAAAAAUGUGGAGACCAAUGAUUGCGAAGGAUUUGCUUGAUUCCGUUGAGAUUUCUGAUCAGCUACAAAUGCAAUAUAGUGGACGAUUAUAGUUGUAAGAAACACACACAAACUUACUCUAUCAGUCUCCAUCAACAGCUUUGUUGUGCCCUGAAGAUUUGCACCCACAACAACAGCAAUAGUCAAGAUUAGAUAUUUGGAAAUUUUUGAGUACGGAAUUGAGGAAAUGAAAUUGCCAUCACUGCAAAACCAUCAAUAUGGGUAUUUGGAGAGGUUAGCAGAAGCAGCAGUGAAGAGAGGGAAAGGGAUGUUAUAAGCUAAGGGUUAUUUGUUUGGGUUCAAAAUUGGGGGAAUGAAAAAUUAUGAUCACUGCAAAACCAUCAAAAUUUAUUUAUGCCUUCCACAUUUCCCUCUGGAACAAUGGUGGCGAACCAUGUUUGUUAAAGUCAGUAGCUUGUUUUGUGUUCUGUUGAGUGCAUUUUCUGGAAUUGAUCAGUUGUUGUGUUUAAUCUUGAUUUAUUUUUUGUGCUAUUUCUUGAUUAAAGGGUGUUGAUUUAUCUUCUAUCAAUCAUCCAGGGGCGUAUCUGAAUCUAAUAUUGCUUCAUAUUAUUAUCAUUAUAAUAACUAAAUAAUAUUAUUCAUCAUGCUCUGGAGAAACAGAGCAGGAACAACAACAGCAACAUAAACCACAGCAGCAUACGAACCUCUUUUAUAUUAGUGGGCUGAAUUAAAAGGAAAGGAGAAAAUUAUUAAUUCUACAAAACCCAAAAGUAGAGAAAAUGAGCUUACUGGACUUAAAAAGGCCACGAUCUUUGGAAAUUUAACUUAACUUUUUUUUUGAAAAAAAAAUAAAGAUUUUACAUAAAUCAAAAUUAUUUAUUAAUGCAUGAACAAACCUCAUACACUAUUCUAACAAGGCACCCUCAAGUUCAAGCCUUUACUCUUAAGCUAGAUCACAAAUUCACAAUAUUAUGGUCUUUGUUAUGGAAAAAUAAAAUUAAGAAUGUAAUUUAGCUUCGUUCAUUCAUUCUCAAAGGACCGCAGCGUAACAUGAUUCAAGACUAACGUGCUGUUGAAUGCGAAGAUGAAAAAAUGAAAAAAUGCAAAGGAAAGUUUACGUACCUUGAGGGAUUAACGUGCUGUUGAAUGCGAAGAUGCAUCCUCCUCCAGUCCUCCUCCACUUAAAAUUAUUUCUAAUUUUAAGGACCAAAAGAUUGAACUCACUUAAGGUCUAAGUCAUGUUUGGCAAACAGCGCUAGCUAUUUAAUCCAAAUUUAAUCAUGAGUUUAGGGUAUAAUCCUUUUUACUUGUCUUGCCUUUUUAUUUAAUUUAAUAUAUAUUAUUAAUUAAAUUUAAAAAAUUAAUUGCCUAAUUUAUUUAAACUAGAAUUUUAUCUUAUAUUAAAUAUCAAAAUUUAUUCAUGAACUUAUUUUAACAUGUAUUUCAUUUAAGAUUACUAUCAAAAUUUUGUUUCAAUGAUACAUUAAAUCAGUUCUGACUGUUAAAAACAAAAAUUAUUCAGUUAUUAAUUUACAAUAAUAUUGAUUAUUAAAUAUUAAAUUCAACAAUUAGUAGUAUAAUUUCAAGACACUUAUGCUACUCUAUUUAAAUAGUUAUUUUAGUUUUAUAAAAUUAAGUUUAACAUAAUCAUGAAUAAUUAUGACAAACAAAAGAAAAUAUUAUUUAUUAUUCAGUCUGAUAUGAUCUAACCCAAGAAACCAAUAAAGUUGACUCAUAAUUUUUAUUUUUAUGUUUGAUCGCUAUUUAUGUUAUUGAUUAAAUAGUUAAAGAAAUAACGAGAAGAGAAAGCCUUUUAAGUAAUUCUUUAAAGUACGAGAAUUAACUUGAUAAUUAACUGAAGAGUAAAUGAGAAUUUAUCUUUCUAAUUUUACCUCUUCUUCAAUUGCACAGAUAAUUAAAUGUUGUAAAAUUUUCCGCAGGGGACGUCCGUGCAACAUCGAAAAAAGAAAAAUAAAAAGGAGGCUACAGCGAAAUUAAAUAAUUUUUUACAUUAAAGUCAAUAACCCUUUAUAACUACAUAUGCAACGAAUGCUAACUGAUUUGGGCCAGCAGGUUUAGGCCCGUCCCCAGCCUUUCUGUUUGGGCCUAAUACUGCAGUCUUAGAUCAGUCCAACGAUCAAGAAUGAUCCAAUUUGCAUGCAAUUGCAACACCAAGGUUGGUAAAACGACAACAUCAUUUUGCACAAAUUUGAAAGAAGACGGAUGGAUCGUUUACAAACAAACGACAAACUAGCGAGCCCUCCACAAGACAAACGACAUUGUGCUUCGGCCUCAAAUUUGAGAUAACAAUUCAACAUAUAAACUCAAAUAUAUAUUUCAUGGCCCCCGUUAAACCGGUGCCUGUGGCCGCCCUGUCGAAGAGAUGCUGUCAUCAUUAGCUCGAUACCAAUUCAAGAUGCUUAAGAAAAUUGGCCUCAAGAUUUUUUGAUAAAGCCAAUGACAAGCAUCCAUAAAAAAUCUCCCAUACUGAUGUACAGUAAUGAUAAUAGCAGCGCUAAUCCAGAAAAUGUAUAAAAUGGUAUCACCAAUUGAGUGUGGAACAAAUGUGGAGAUCAAUGAGACAGCAGAAAGAGAUCCGAAGAUAACGACAAUAAGGCCCCAAAAUUGUGAGGAAUUUGCUUGAUUACGUUGACAUUUAUAAUCAGCUGCAAGUGCAAUACAAUAGAAAUUUGUGGCCAGCAGAAAAGUACACAAGCUUACUUUAUGGGUCUCGAUCAAUGGCUUAGUUGUCCCUUGCACAUUUGCACCCACAAUUGUGACAAGGGUUGGAAUGAGAUAUCCGAAAAUUUUAUUGUAUGAAAUUGAGGAUGCAUAUUUUUCACCGCUGUAAAAAAUCAUCAAUACACAUUGAUAAUUGUUAGCAAAGGCAAAAUACCAAUAAGAGAGGGAAUUAGGAAGUAAAGAUGUGUAAUUAAAUUGAAGAGUUAUUUAAUUGUUCGGUAAACUUCAUUUGGGCCACUAUUUAUUCCUUUGUUAACAUGAAAUUACUCCCAAAAUUUUUUAAAAUAGUCAAUGUUUAUGAUGAUAGUAAUACUAAAGCAAUUAACAAAAAGGAUAUUAAAAAAGAAGAGAAGACGAAAUGGCAAGGGACUUUUGGUCAGCUUGUGAGUGGGGAUUGAGUUUGUUUUUAAUUUUAAUUUUUUUAAAACAACUUUAAUAUUUUUUUAAAUUUUAAAAAAGGAGAAAUUGAAACUGUAGUAAAUUAAAGUUUACCUUGAAGAAUUGAAGUGAUGAUGAUGAUGAAGAUGGAAGUGGCAGCUUCGUAUCAUAUGGAUCUCGUAACGCAACUCUUCAAGUUCCUCCAUGAAAUGAUGAAGAACUACCUGGCUGCUUAUUAGUUAGUUUCUUCCUUAGGUGCAUGACUCUUUUAAAAGUGCAAUUUGGUCUGGCUCACACUAGCACAUUUGGGCGUACAUUAGCAGAUUAACCGACUGAUCGCUGGCGUCUGUUAGCAAAAGGGACUCCGGCGUACAUUAGCAAAUUAACCGACCCAUCAUAGGCCUACAUCAGCAAACAUACAGACACGAAUAUAUUACCAAGUCAACCGAACAGACAUUCAUUUAGCUGACCCAUGGGGCGUAUACCAGCAAGUUUAGGCGCACACUAGCAUAUUAACCGACCGAUCACCAGCGCUUAUUAGCAAAAAAGGGACCCACAGCGUACAUUAGCAGACAAACCGACCCAUUAUAGGUCUAAAUUAGCAAAUAUACGGACACAAGUAUUUUAGCAAGUCAAUCGACGGACAUUGAUUUUUGAAUUACCUCUUGCAAAAGUCUAUCGUGGACAAUUAACGCCAAGGUCACGAAUAAAAUAAUGAAAAUAGAAAAAGAAAAAAGGAAAAAAAGAGAGAAAAACACUCGGCUUUAAUACAAUGGAACAAUGACAAUUAUUCGUAUCAAAAUAUUUUGAAUGAUUUAUUAAGGUAAUUACGUUUUUAGUUUCUUUAUUUUAGAUUAAACGUCUGUUUAGUUUUCAAAAUGUCCCAACAUAGUCCUAUUGUGCUAUGUUGCAAUUAAAAUUAAUAUAUAUUUUUUAUUUUUUUUAAAAUAAGGACUAAAUGAGUGUUUGUCUAAUUAACUACUUUGAGUCUAAUAAUCAAUCAAGAUAAUAAAAUUAUUGCAAGAAAUAAUGAGUAGAGACUGAUGAAUUUGCCGAAUUAUGUAAACAAGGAAUUUAGUGAAAGAAGGAGAAAUAGUUUCUUGGGUCAACCAUCUUUCAUAAUUUUAGCAAUUUAAGAUAUGCUUGCACAUUUUUCCGGUGCCAUUACUUCAAUUCUAAUGUUCUUCAGCAUCCUCGCUUGACGUUACACAGAAGUAGGGAUGGUAAUAUUUUCCGGACCUGGCCCGGACCCGAAUGAACCCAGAUAAUUCAGACCGGAUUCAACCCGUACCCGAUUUAAUUUUAUUCGGAAUCCGGAUGUAAUUCUAUGAACCCGCAUAUAUCCGGGUCCGGAUCCGGUUUUAUAUGAAUCCGAAAAUCCGGAACCCGGACCUGUAUAUCUUUAUUUUUAUAUUAAGUUUUAAAACUAUUUAAGUUAUAAAUAGAGCAGUUAAGAAAAAAAUCAUGUGCCCUAAUUUGCAAAUUGCAAUUCACAGCCGCAUCGCAUGUUUCCUCUUCCCUUCAUCAAAUCUUAAUCGUCAAAAUUGCAAUUUACAGCCGCAUCUCAUGUUUCCUCUUCCCUUCAUCAAAUCUUCAUCAUCGUCACUCUCAUCGCUUCGCCACCUUGUCCUUCGCAGUUGUGUUCACUAUCAUCAUCGUCAUCAGCCGCCUCUCUAGUCUUCUCUGUCGUGAUUGGCGACGAUUGUGAUACGGGUUGAAGUUGCACGCAGAUCAUGGGAGGAAAUGUUGGUUUAGAUGCUUUGGAGGAUUAUUUAUUAUUAUUAUUAUUAUUAUUAUUGGUGUCGUUGGGAGCUUUGGCUGUGUGGAAUGGUAAGGCCCAAAGAUUCCUUUUACACCAAAAGUUUAUCUUUGUGACAACUUGCGGGUGGAGCUUAGGGAUAACCAUAGGCAGAUUUGGGUGUGAGUAUUCAUGUCUAUUGUCGUUUUGUGUUCAUCCAAUUAGAAAUUCAAAGCUGUAAGAAAUAAUCGAAGAUAUUGUUUUCCACAGUUGAAAUCAAAUUCGGGUUCGAAACUCGGAGUCCGGAAACUCGAUUUUUUCCGGGUUCAACCCUUACCGGACCCGGAGUCGACAAAAUCGAGUUUAUAUCCGGGUCCGGUAAAGUAAAAUUGGCAUCCGGGUCCAGAACCGGGAAGGCCAAACCCUGACCCGCACCUGGAUUUUACCAUCCCUACACAGAAGAAGAUUUUCUUUUACGCUUAUUAAGGAAGUUAAUUGUAUAUUGGCCUCAUCACCCUUUCUCUUUUCUGUUGCAAGCAUGAUGGUAGCCUUUGUGGCAAGGCCAUUUUCACAUCUCUUUCUCAUCGUUGCUGUACCUAAAAUCUGUUCUUGAGUUUUUUGCCUUUUCUAAUUUCUAUUCUUUUGAUUAUUUCGGCUUGUUAUCUCAAUAUAUUUCGUUUAUCUUCAGUUUGAUUCUUACAGCUCCAUUGUGUAGUUAAAGGUGUGUCUGGUAAUUUUCUUUUUUCAAAUGCAUGUUGUACAUUAGAAUUAAAAACAUUUGACACGACUGGUUUACCAAUUUGGGUCAUAAAAAUUGACACAAUUUUUUUUGUGUUAGGUUAAGAUUCAACUUUCUAACCCAUUUACCCGGUUAAUAAUAUGAUUGUUAAAUAGUUAACCAAAAUUAAUUGUAGGGUCUUUCUAUCAAACUCAAAUAUUAGAUAUGAUUCUUUUUUUUUUUUUUUUACCAUGUGAAGAAUGUAUAUUUAUAUGGUAUCCGAUUUUCUAUAAUUCUAGAUAGACCUAAAACUUAAAUAUAUAAAUGUAUACUAUUUCGAUAGACAUGUGUAUUUAGUAAUGUUCAUGCGUAAUAAUAUUUAGAUAUAUAAAAGAGUAGUGGCGAAGCUAAGAGUAAAUCAUUGAGGGGCCAAGUUCAAACUUCAAGUGUUAAUAGUAAAUUGAUUUUAGAUUUCUUUUUCAUUCAUAGUUAUGAUGCAGUUAUCGAGAAUUUGGGAAUUUUGCUUCUAACUACAGUAAUGGGGAUUUUGAUCGACAACUUAGGCCAAUGGCAAUGCCACAUUGGAGCUACUUGGGGCUUGGUCCCAUGUUUAAUUUAAUUUACCAUAAAAGCUCCAGCAAAAAUAUAAAAAUAAUUAAAAUAUUAGAUAUUUCAUUUUACAUCUCCAACCCACAAAGAAAUCCCUAGAGCCCUAACUCUCAUCGCACAAGAGAACAUAAACUACUCACCUUAGUGAAUUUUAUCUAAUUGAUUUUUCUUAAGUGAAUCUUAUGGCAUAUGAAUUAAACUUGAUGUUUACAUUUCGGAUGUGAAUUUUAAUAACAAAUUUUCACGAUCAAAAGGGGAUUGGUGAGCUAAUAAGAAAAACAAUUAAUACUAAAAAAGAUAAAUUAUAUUGAUUAAUUUAUCUAAUGGUGAAAUUAGAAUUAAUUUUACUGGUUGCCACAACUAUAGUAAAAAUGGCAUUUUCAGCUGCGAAAUUUUUUUAAUUAUCAAUGAAAGGGGAUGGGAGAACUAAUUGCAUGCAUAGAAAAGAUAUAUUUUGCAAUUUGAUGAUGGGGUUAUUCUUUAGUAUUUUCAACAAAUGAAAACACAUCGAGGAAAAUUAUUAAGAGGUGAGGGACAAUCAACCCUUAACGUAAGGUCGAGAUCUAUGACUGUGAGAACUAUUAAGAGGUAUUUUACUAUGACUUAAAGUCAGAGCCAUUUAACAUAGGAAUAGAACUGAUAUCGACAGUAAUAUUAACAACAAAUGUAACUGGAUGGAGAACAAAAAACAAACAAAACAAGCUCAUGUGGGUCUCAAAAUAAAAAUAAAUUCAAAUACAGGUAAACCUCAUCUCAAGAUGCUGGACACUCCAUUAAUAUUCCAUUUUUAGAUAAAAUAUUAACUUGUAAGUAAUAUCUUAAUGUAAUAAUCAAACACUGGUAAUAAGAACACUGCAAAUAAUAAAUCUUCUUUUGGGUUGAUUUAUUGUUUACAUGUAAAACUGAAUAAUGAUGACGCGUUUAUUAUCACAGGCGCACUUGCAAUUUUGUUAAAUAUGAACCUUCCUUUGGGUCUAUCGACAUUUACAAAAAUUACGUGCACACAACUAUUUAUAUUCCAAAACAGAUUAAUUUCUACAAGGGAGGUUACGUUAGUGACACAAUGCUUCAAUUAAUUCAUCUCAAAAUAUACAUAAAUAUAUCUAACAUUUGAAUUUAAAAAAAAUUAUCCAUCAAAAAAUUAAAAAAAUUAGGUUAAAGUCUGAAAAGUCAACAGUCAAUAGUUUGAUAGGUCAACUAUUGACCGAUUAAAUUAUUGACCUGUUCAGUGCUGGACUGGUUUGAGUUAUCCGCAACCAAAUCUUAAACCAACCCAUUUCUUAAAUCGAGUUCGGUUCAACUUGACUCGGAUCUUAAAACAACCUAAUCCCUUUUCACAAAACCCUUUUUUUUUUUUCCUUCUGUCUUAAGUAGCGGCCAUGCCAAGUCACCGCGAUAUGGUGACCAUGGCUGGCUUGCUGAUGUAGCCCAUGGUGGCACCUUCCCUGAUCUGCUGCACCUUUUUUGAUGUUUCUUCUUGGCCGUCGCUUUUAUUAUAAGAAGUUUUUUCAUGUCAGUGCGGCCUGGACAACCCAGGUCGAUGUUGGUAAUGCCAGCGAUGGCAGUGAUGCCGCCAGCCCUUAACUCCUUAAUACAAAUUGAAUUUUCUUAAUAUUUUUCUUAAUACUAGAAUUUCUGAAAAAAAAUUAUCUAAAUUUUGAUUUUUUUGAAGAAUCAAAUUGUUGAAAUUGAAAAAUGAGUUCUAAAAUUUUGUAAUCCUUAAUUUUAGAAACGAUCAUAAAUUGUUCUCAAUAAUUCAUUAUGAAUGGGCUCUAAUACCACUUGUUAUAAUAAUAAAACCUUUAGUGAAAACUAUCACAUACAAAUCAUGAACAUUCAUGUUGUAUCACCCAUAAUCAAUAACAAAUUAUGCAGAGGCGUACCUAAAUUCAUAAUGCUUAAUUGCUCUUUGGAGUCAUGUGGUUGGCCUUCUAGAUCAACCUAUUUUCCUAGAGAAAUCUUUAAUUUUCUUUGUGCUCUCUCUAAUGAUGGGAUGUUGACACAUGUACCCUGGAGACCAUAAACAUUUAUAUAGAUAACUUUUUCUGUUGUUAUUAAAGCCAUAUAACUGAAAACCUUAAUAGAUCAAUUUUAUUGGGCUUAACCUUAUAUAACAGUCCGUAUUACAUAAUUAUUCAUAUAUGACACGACUUAAAAGUGUUUGAUUUACUUCCAAGUAUAAGAGUGUCUAAUUAUAUUAUAUCUUGGUGAGUCUGAAGUCGAUCUACAGAGAAAAGAUUUAAUUUUUUUAUUUAAGUUUAUCAAAAAAAUGAAAAUAAAAUUUAAAAUAUGCAAUUUAAUUUGAGAAACAUUAUGAAAUUGAAUCAGUUAGGAUUAUGGAUCCACUCUUAGUAAUAAAUAUAAUUUAAUAAAUUCUUUUAUUUUUUAUUUAUUGCACAAAAGAUUAAUUGUAUAAAUUACAAUUAUUUUCCCAUUAAUUUUACUAUCGAUUAAGUAUUUAAUGUGCCAAAACUUAACUUAUCUACAAUAAGUUAAAAUACCAUUUUAUCAUACUUUAUACUAAGAUAUUUAGAAUUUAUUGUGCCAAACUCACAUGUUUGUCCACAAUAAAUCAAAAUUUCAAAAUAUAAAAAAUGGAUAAAAUUAAAUAGAAAUAAUUUAAUUUAUAUAAUUAAAAAUAGAAUUUGAUUAAAUCAUAUUUUUUUUGCUAAGAGUUUCACCUCACCCUAACUAUUAGUAUUUAGCUACACAUAUUUGAAAUAAAAGAAAUUAUUAAAAUUUAAAAAAACAUAAUAGAAAAUUUAAAAAUUUAAAAAUAAAACUAAUUUUAUUUAUUGAAAAUAUAUUACAAAGAGAGAUGAGAAGAAGAAUUUGAGGGGAAAGAAGAGAAGGAAAGGUGUAGAGAGGUGUGUUCCCCCUCUUUAUUUAUACUAAUACAUGAUUAAUCAACACCACAAAAAAAAUAAAGCUAACUACAUUUUAGCCAUACAUUUGUCUCACUAACAAAACAUAAACCUAAUUUAAUUCACUCAAGCACAUCCAACACAUUCCACUAACAAUUACCACUGCUAACAUAGUAAAAACUUAUAAUUUCACAAUUACCACAUUUACCGUGGUAAAAACUUAUAAAUUUACAACAAAAUUUUCGGAUCCUCCUUAACAACGACCUAAUUUCUCAAACUUCUGGAAUCUAAAUUUGAUAUCUGUACAUUUGUUUGGAGCCCCAAAUUGUAUGAAAUUAGGGUAAUUUUUGAAAACCUCCCCUAAGGUUUGUCCUUACUACACUUAGAGAGAAUGUAUGCAUAUAUUGACAUAUAGCACCCCUGACCGUGUAUGAGCGUUAGAGUGUCCUUUGGUUGUUAACGGCAAUAACGUAAUUGCAAAAAUAAAGAGGCUAACUAUAGAAAGAACGCAAUAGCUUUUGCUUCAUCUCCGUCUUCGUUCUUAUUCUUUCUCUCUCUCUCAAAAGAAUUUGGAGGUAGAAAAGGAAAAAAAAAAAUUCUUCUUUUCUUUCUCUUUUCCCCCCUUCCUUUCCACCCAUUUCGUUCUUUUAUCAAUAAAGCUAAAAAACAAAGGCCACUAUUCCUGCAUCACCACCACUUUGUUGUAUUGCUUUGCUAGCAACAAAAAUUCUAACCCAUGUUAGAAAAUAAAAUCAUGCCAAAUUGGAGGGGGGAGAGAGUGACCCACGGCUGCUGGAAUUGAAGGGGGGAGAGAGAGGGUGAACCGUGCAUUUUGUACUAGAUUUGGAGGUUCGAGGGGAGAAAGAGAGUGUGACCCGUGACCCACAACCGUUGGAUUUGGAGGGGAAAGAGAGUGAGAGCUGUCGAUGGAGCGUGGUGAGGAAGAAUGGGAGAUUGGUGGGUUGGUGAGAUUAGUGGCAUGAGCCGUGAGGGAGAGAGCGAGAGAGGGUGUGCUGUGAACGUUGCGUGUGUGUUGUAAACGGUGUUGCACAGUUCUUUCAAUCAAACCCUAAGAUCCUAACAAAAUCAUGCCAAAAUCUUGAUUCACCAGGCCUUUUAAUUAAGUUAAAAGCUUUUGUUUUGUUAUCUUCUGCAAUGCAAGAAGUAUCGUCAAGUCUGCAACUCCACGCUGCUGCAAGUAUUGUCAGUUAUUGAACUGUGCAGUGAAGGGCAUUAUUGUACUCUCGGUAACAGAGCAAACAACAGUCUUACACUGAUAUACGGUCAGGGGUGCUAUAUGUCAAUAUAUGCAUACAUUCUCUCCAAGUGUAACAAGGACAAACCUCAGGGGAGGUUUCCAAAAAUUAGCCUAUGAAAUUAUUAUUUUUCCCUAAUAAACACAUAAAUAUACAAAAUCAAAUAUUUAGAAAAUAAUUAAAAAUUCAUAAUAUGUUUUAUAAUUACAAAUAUAAAUUACAAUAUAAGCACAAAAUAAUAUUUUUACUCCUUAAUAGAUAUACAAUGUUUAACACUAAUCAAUAUAUAAACUCAACAUUGGAUUAAUGAUCCAACAAUAUUGGAUUAAAGAUCCAAUAUAUUUUGUACUCAAAAGUAAACCGAAAAAAAAAAAUAUAUAUAUUUAACUAGAAAUAUCAGCAAAUAUAUGUUGUACUAUUCAAAGAUUGGGACUGUCUUCGGUAUUAUAACACAAUUUAAUUUUGAUUCUCUUUUAACAAUCCAAUGGUUGAGAUCAAUCAGUUGCUACUCGCAGCUACUGUAGGCCACCUAGAACCCCUUGUUACUGUGGAAUCAUCUUGGGAAUGUGCCGUUGUGAAUGGUAUCUUAUAUGCAUAAUUUUAGGUGUAAAGUAAUCUUUACAAAUUUCAGGUACAUAAUAUACAAAUAGGCGAGGUUCAAACACCGUCAAAAUCUCAAGAACUUACAGUAAUUUUACAUAAUUUCAAUUUUUUUUUUUUGUGUAGUUGCCUAGCUGGUCCAAUCACAACAGAUAUUAAACUUACAAAUAAUAAUGCUAUGCUUACUUAGUUUAAAUAUUUAGUUGAGAUACUUAUUUAUAUGUCAACAAACAUUUAAUGUCAUGUGUAUGAUAUUAAUUAAUUUAUUAUUAAUUAUUAACCUAUCACCACUCAAUGAAUGACAUAUAAUAUGUCACAGUAGUGAAUAUUCCAACUAAAUAUCCAACACGAGUUAUUAAAUCAUCACUCCCUUACAAAAUUGUUUUGUCCUCUUUCUGUUAUACAUACAUACAUACAUAUAUAUAUAUAUAUAUAUAUAUAUAUAUAUAUAUAUAUAUAUAUAUAUAUAUAUAUAUAUGAUAAAAGGAUGGUGUAAAUAUUAUUCCCUUAAAUCAUACAUUUCUUUCUCCCGUUUUUUUUUUCCCUUGAUGCAAACAGAAUACGAUCACUCCUUUUCUUGUAUGAUUGAAAUAAUUCCGAAUAAUAACUACUGUUGUUCCAGUGCACAGCAGAGCCUUUGUUCAAAAUACAUACAGCUAAAUAUUUGGAGUCUUCUUGUGCCCCAAGUAAUCCACUGCUUUGCCUUUGCAGCAGAUAUAAAGUCUCUAUUCUAACAAGGAAAUUCACCCCAAUAAACAUGUUUGCUAUAGAUAUUUUCCAAAAACUAAUUCCUAAACAAAAAUAGAAAAAAAGAUCGAAUUUAUCAAUAAACCAAAAUUAAAAAUAGUUCCAAAUUAUUUAAAAAAUAAAAAUAAUUCAAAGAAGCCGAGUAUAUAUUGUACCCACAAAUUAAAAAGAAAAAUUAAACAGUCAUUUAAGCAUACCUUAAAACAUCAAUCUCAGCAGAUAUAUUGGGUAUACAUAGAUAGUCCAACGGAAGAAUCAUAAUUGAAGAAGCCAUGGUUAUUUUAGCACCUUCGAAGAUUGGGACUGUACUUGGGAUUAUAGCACAAUUUAAUUUUGAUUCUCUUUUCACAAUCCGACGGUUGAGAUUAGCGUUGUUAAUUAUGGCUAAUGCAGCUUACUUAGAUGAUCUGUCCCUGUUGAAUCUUCCUUCGAAUAUGCGAUUACGCGUGGAUGACAUUGGUAUCUGCAUCCUGUCACUAAUCUUUUGACUAAUGUCAAAUUUACAAAAUUAAGAUACGUAAAACACAUAUACGUGCGGUUCCGACACCAUCAAAUCGCGUGAACUUAAGAUAAUUUUAAGUAAUUUCAAUUUAAAAAUUUGUAAUUUUCCCUCGUCGCCACCUCGCUGGUAAAAAAAAAGAAAAUAGGAGCUUUUUUUCCAAUCCACAUGGUCCAAUCACAGAAAAACGUGAACUUCAGACGCUUAAACAUCGCGUACACGGGCUUGCCCGCUCAAUUGGCCACUACUCCUCACAAGUUGAAUCAAGCGGCUGAAACCGGGUGGUUUAGCGAGCGGGUUUGAAUUCUUUGACUUGCAAAUUUUGUUUCCAUUCCACCACCUAACAAACCGUAGAUCUAGAAACAAAACCUAAUCUCAACCGUUCAUCGACCAAGCAAUUUACAACCACAAGAUCUGAAAAAUCUAACGGUUAAUAUCAAUCUACUAGAACUUUCUCUCCCUCCUCCCCUCUAUUUAUGCACACUCUUGGCCCUUACAUGUAAGCUUGUGCUCGGCUCCCUUCUACGUGAAACACUUCGCUCUCUUUCAAAAGAAAAAGCAAAAGAAGGCCCAAAAAAUUAAAAAAAAAAAACUUUUCUUUCUGUGAAGCACAUCCUCUGGUAAGCGUAAUCUCUUUGAUUAUCAAUUCAGAUUUCUAACCAUUCGUUAAAUUCGAACUUUACUUUUAUUCACAUUAUUUCAUAAUAUUUACGUUUUAUUUUUUUACAGUAGUGCUCGUUUAAGGAAGAAAAAAAAAAAACAACUUUGCUCUGUGAAGCACAUUCUCUGGUAAGCGUAUUCUCUUCGAUUACUAAUUCAGAUUUCUAGCUAUUCGUUAAAUUCCAAUUUUACUUUUAUUCACAUUAUUUCAUAAUAAAUACAUUUAUUUUUUAUUUUUUACAGUGCUGCUCGUUUAAAGAAAAUUAAAAAAAAAAACUCCUCUUUUGGAAGCACAUUCUCUGGUAAGCGUAUUCUCUUCGAUUAACAUUUAAGAUUUCUAGCCAUUAGUUAAGUUCCAAAUUUUCUUUUAUUUACAUUAUUUCAUAACAUUUACAAUUUUUUUUCUUUUAAAUUUUUGUACAGAGCUGCUCGUUUAAAGAAAACAAGGGAGAAGAUGCAGAUGCAAACCUGUAACUGCAAUCUCCAUCAUCCAAAUCAUUCACGGUACAUUUUUUUUUUUUCACUCUUGCAUUUUUUUUUUAAUCAUUUAUAGUUUUCAACUUAUUCUUUUUUUUUUUUUCCACUUACAAUUUUUUUCUUACUAUUGUUUUUGCUUUCUUUUAUUUAUUGACUUCCGACGUGUCUUUACUAUGUCAUCAGCGGUGAUUUUUAAAACAAAUGAGAUUUAUUUUUGCGUUUGAGUAAAUUUUUGGAAGCAUAUUAGUUUUUCUUACUACUGUUUUUUUUUUUAAAUAUUGUUUUUACUAUUGUGUUAAUUUCGUUUUUAAUUGUUAUUUUUGAGAUUAUUGGUAUUACUAUUGUGUUAAUUUCGUAUUUAUUUAUUUAUUUAUUUUUUUGGUUUCUCAAAAAAUGGGUUCGAGAUUAUAAAUCCAAAUAAAACCGUGAUGAGUUGGAUUUGAGGAGAUCUACGGGGACAGAGUGAGUUUGAAGCAUUUUAGAUUAAUUAAUGAUCGAAAUACAAUCGAAGGAAACAGUUAUUAAGUUCAGGGAAGGUGAGUCUAGGGUUUCUUGGAAGUAUUUCAAAAAUCAGAUUAUUCAUGCUGGUUGUAUUUUUCAUUAAAAAGAAAAGAUACGUACAUAGUUCUGACAUAAGGGUGACAGAAUCUGGGUCGUUUUGUUCUAUGUUUUAGGGAUUAAAAGUAAAACGACACCGUUUGUGCUUCCUUUUGAAACAACGCUUUGCUUUUUUUUUUUCCCCAUUUUUGUUUUUCAGGUAAAAGACUUUUUCUAUUUUUUAUUCUUCAUUCUUUUAAGACAAAAUGAUACCAUUUUAUAUCUUCGUUCCUUUUUUUUUUUGGGGUAAAAUAACACUGAUUUGUUCCUUUUUUUUAAAGGUAAAACGACAUAGUUUUCCCUUUUUAGUUUUGUAUUUUAUCAUAAAACGACACUAAUUUGUCCCUCUUUUAAAGAUAAAAUAAUAUUGUUUUGUCCCUGAUUAAGUCAGCCCUAUGUUAGGAUUGUGCCUUGUUCUUGUUCAAAAUGUUAAUCACUCCCUAUCUAUUUUUUUUAUUUUAUUUUUUUAAUUUUUUGUAGUGAGCGAGAAUAUCCCAACAUUUUUGGGCAUCUCACUGCAGUUCUCGUCGGGAUUGUGGGUGCGAAUUUUCAGGGGAAAACUAAGACCUUGAUCGAAACACACUCGCUAAAUAUGUGGACUUUUCUGGUCACCAUAGGCAUCUAUUUUUAUGCAUUUUCUGCCGACGGGAAUUCUCGACGCCGUCAAGAAAAUUCUUCCCAAUUCUGGGAGCUGAUUGCAGUUGUUUCGGGGACUGCUUCUGCAGUCUCUUUGGCCUCCACAUUGCUCCCGCAGAACGUUGGUGACAUCAUUUUGUACAACACCUUGAUUUUCUAUGGCAUUACCCUCGUUGUGUUGCUUGUGUAUCACUAUGGCAGAAUUUUUAUGGAUGCCUCUCGUCAGCAUUACAAUGAAAUCUUGCGGCCAAUUUUCUCCGACAUUUGCUAUUGGUUCCAAAUUAAUGACACUUCCUUGACCGAGCAGCCGCGGCGACCACAAGUCUAGAAGUAUUCCAAACUGAUGACAGCGCGGAGCAAAUGAAGUUUUCAGUCUGUGUUACAGUGCUGGUGCUUUUGUAUAGGAGUAAAAGUGAUUUUACACGCUACAAAAAUAUUAUAGUGAUACCAAAAUAUAGUAUAAUUAAGGUGUUAAUGGGAGGCGUUUUUAAUGUCUCCCUAAAGCUUGUUGCUUAACAACCAUAUUUAUAAAGAUUUGUCACUUUCUCCCCUACGGUUUUUUUAGUUUUAUAAUCUCCCCUAUAUAAUUUCCAUUAUUUUUAUUGAAUCGAUAUGUAUGUUGGAUAAUUUUUCAAAAGGUCAGCCACCGUUAAAUUUUAAUAUAGAAGUUGUCGUUUCUGAUAAUUCAUAGAUGAUUAAAGAAUGAAUAUUAAAUUACUCAACUCAUUUUUUUCAUAGUCCAUAGGAUGGGUCGUCGUCCUUUAAAGAGCCAAAAAUUAAUACUCCGUCAUCACUACCUUAAUUAUAAUUUCAUUUAAAAAUAUUAUCGACUCUAUUAUAAGAAUCUUUCAGCACGUUGAAACCCUGGAAAUCCAAUUUUUUUAAAAACUUUUUUCAAUUAAAAAAACAAAGAGAAAAAAUGGUUUGAUGAUGUGCGGAUAAGGUUUUCUUGUUCUUGUGCUUGGUGAUGUGCGUAACACUUUUUUAGGAGGCACGGAGACGAAGAAAAUGUAAUUUAUUAUUCAACGCAUGCUGAGUUUGAAGAAAAAGUUCUUUGUUUCCUUCAAAAAAGUUAAAAUUAAAUAGCCCUUCUCUCUUAAAAAAGUUGAACGGAAACGAUUUCAUACUCUCCAAAUCCGGCCAUAACCCAUGUGCGACGAUGCAUGUGGGAGGAUGGCAGGAUGCUUCAUCUUCCCAUCUUGAUACUUAUAUGGGUCGGAUGCAUCAUCUUUAACAUAUUGAAGUGUUACGUAUAAUUAGUAGAAGAUAACCAUUUGGAUAGAUUAAAUAUGAGAUUUAUUAAUUUUUAUUUAAAAUAUAAACUUUACAGAUUCUACCCAAAUGAUAGAAUUUUGCUAGUUAGACACAUCACCUCAUGCCGAGGGGGUGCGGCGGAUCAUUUGAACUUUUCUCCUGGAUCUAUGUAUAGAAAUCCAAUAAAAAAAGGCAUCAACAAAGAAACAAAUAUAGAAAUCCAAUAAAAAAAGGCAUCAACACAUAAUUAAAAAUAAAAGGACAAAUAUAUGCAAAGAUAUAAUUACAACAAUUACUACUUAAACCUGUAAGGCUGUAACUAGAGAGACCUUGUUGGUCUUUGAUGACAAAAUGCAAAACCUAAGCAGGAGGUUCAGACACCAAACAAAAGACGAAGUAGAAGCACCAAGAUUGGCCAAUUUAUCUGCCGCACGAUUUUCAUCUCAAAAAAUGCGAGUACAACGAGCCUUCAUUUACUCUAUUGAGAGUAAGCGGCUUUUCCAACGAUUAAGCACAGUCCAAGGGGAGGAUCGGAGAUGACCAUUACGGAGAUGAAGAAUCACAAGAAUAAUCACAUUUGAUCCAGAGAUUCAUCCAUCUCCGCUCAUAAUCAAGCUCGCUAUCGGUGCUUAAUCUCUGGUCAAAUAAUUUUUGCCUAAUUGUUGCCAAGGCCUGAAGAGGAUAACUUGUCUAAUAAUUCUUUUUCCUCCUAAAAUCUAUUAGUGACAAACAAGUCCUUCACCUUCUAUUCUUAAUCAGGUGGCAUACUUCUCUGUGGCCCCUCCUGGCGUGGGGAAAACACUACCUGCAAAAGCUGUGGUUGGUGCGAAUUUCUUCUCCAUUUUUGCCUCUCAGUUUGUGGAAAUAUAUGUUGGCGUUGGUGAUUCUCGUGUUCGCUCACUUUACCAGGUGGCCGAGGACAAUGUAAAUGCUAUUUCUUGCUUCUUUUCCAUAGAAAUGGUUCUAUAAAAAAAGAUUCUUUUGGUGCAGUUCCGUCUGAUUUUGAACAAUUUAACUCCAUAACAAAAAUCAACUGUGACUUUUAUGUUUCUUUCAAGCUAGGACACAUCUUGUUUUAGAAUGACUGCCUUUCUCAUACAUCGCUUGUUCUUCUUCAUCUUUUUGUUUCUCAUAAAAAAUUGCGAACGCCUUGGGGAUUCUAACAUGUUUAUUAGAAAUUUGAAAUUAUGAUUUCCCGGAUUUUUUGUUGAUCUGCGUAUGUUCCAUCAGUUGUAUUCAUUGACAAGUUGGAUGCCGUUGGAGGUGGACAAGAACGUGAUGCUACUCUCAAUCAGUUUGGUUGGGACAACAUUGAUUAUGAUUAUUUUUCAAGGAAACUUAAACGUUUGUACUGAGAGACAUUUAAGAGUGUCCCUGUAAGUUGAUAUGAAAUGUUGUUGAUGCAGUGUAGCUUUUUGAAGGAAGAGGGAAUGUGAUCACUAUAGCUUCCACAAAUAGACCCGACAUUCUAUGUCCAGCCCUUGUGAGACCUGGAUGGUUUGAGCGUAAAAUUUUAUCCCUAAACCCGGCCUUAUUGUCCGUAUGGAAAUUCUAAAGGUAACAAUCCACAUUUGCAUUUUUGUAAUAUAUGCUGGUGUCGACAUUGUAAAAAAUGUCAGUUGUACAACUCCCUUUGUAGAUUCUUGUUCUCUGGAUUGCCAACUCUUCAUUUUGAUAUUUUCUUCCUUUGAAAUUGUUAUUUGAGGAUUUGGCAAGCAAGAAAGGAGAAAGCUUAGAAGAAUAUUCUGGAAACAACUUGAAACUGAGAUUUUUGAUACAUAUUAAAAAAAUGAUUACAAAUUUGUUUAUAUCAUAACUCAUUGAGAUCGAACUAACUAAUCACAGAAGUUACUGGAAUAACUAACAAAUUUUAUAGCAAUUGUAGCUAAAAACAGAAUCCUCCAAUUUUAAUAGCUAGGAGUGUAUCAGUUGCCUUAGUACACAUAUGCUGCUACACCUUUAUUUCUUCACAUAUGCUAACAUCCUCCCGCAAGCUGAAUAGUCCAGGUGGAAUAUUCGAUAAUGAAAUUGGCCACAAUUCAAGGCAUUAGUUAGCACAUUAGCAGUCUGAUCCUCACUAUGAACAAAGCUAACUAAAAUUUGUUGAGCUUGAUCUUUUUCUCAAAUUGAAUGUAUAUCAACCUCAAUGUGUUUAGUCUUAGCAUGAUAACUGGAUUUGUAGCCAAGGCUAUGGCUCCUAGAUUAUCACACCACAUUAUCGCUGUAGCUGCCGUUUUUAUUUGCAUCUUAGUGAGUAGAACUCUAAUCCAUAAUACCUCAGCUGUAGCCAAUGCCAAACCUUUGCAUUUUGUCUCUGUGCUUGACCUUGAGACAACAUGUUGCUUCUUUAAAGAACCAAACACCAAAUUCAGACCAAGGUAUACUGCAUAACCUGCUACAGACUUCCUAUAACCUAUAACUAGGGAGACCGUGUUGAUCUUCUAUGACAAAAUACAAAACCUCAGCUGGAGGUUCAGACACCAGAGAAAAGAAGAAGUUCAAGCACCAAGAUUGGCCAAUUUGUCUGCCGCACCAUUUCCAUCUCAGAAAAUGCUGGUAAAACGAGCCCCCAUUUACUGUAUUGAGAGUAAACAGUUUUUCCAAUGAUUGAGCAAAGUCCAAGAGGAGGAAAAUCACCAUUACGGAGAUGAAGAAUCGUAAGCAUAAUCACAUUCGAUCUAGAGAUUUGGCCAUCUCGGCUCAUAAGUAAGCUUACUCAAUGAUCAAGAUAACAGCCAGAAGCUUGCCUAAAAAGCCGAUUGCAUCCCUAAGCGGCAAGAAAAACAGCCUAACAACAGCCCAAUAUGAUCCAUCAGAUUUCACCAGCGUUCAGGGCCCUGACCGAAAACAAUCAAUACAGUAGCACUUACAUCAAAAUAGAAAACCUAAGUCGCAUAACCACCUCACCGCUGGCGCCAUUCUUGACAUUGGCAAUGUUGUAGCACGACCACUAUUGCCACCCUCGAACCUCCCUAACACAACCUUACCCGCACUGACAUCUCAGCAACCACUAUCAGCUACUCAUAAUGACCUAACUCGUGUGACCUCCAACUUCAACCCCAAGUCUUCGUAUUCUUUGACUCUCAACCCGUCACCGUUCUCAACUCUAGUGCCACUUCAAGACCACAAAAGUCUUUUGUACAUGUCGUGACUGGUUCUACUGCUUCAUCAAUUCCUAUGAAAUCGGUUCAGUUGCACAAAGGUGAACCAACCAUCCACUUCCCCGCCGCAUAAAUUCGAUAGAUGGCUGAGCCUUUUAAAUUGGCUAUUGUUGGUAAGUUUUCCUUUAGUUGCCCUCUCAUAGAUGUUAUUCGAAAAUUUUUCAUUUUUUCGGGGCUGAAAGGAAAUUUUCAGAUUUUGUUACUUCAUAAUGGACACAUUUUAAUUAAAUUGGAAAUGGAGGAAGACUAUUCUCGGAUACAAGUUAGGCAAAGUUGGUAUGUUAAUGGUAGAGGGAUGUGGGUUUUAAAGUAGUCUAUUGACUUCUAUUAAUGGGAGAUUCCACUGAGCAAUGAAAGUUAGUAUACUACUUAAAAACCCACAUCCCUCUACCAUUAACAUACUAACUCUGCCUAACCCAUAUGCAAGAAUAGUUUUCAUUUAUUUUCAACAUAAUACAAAUGUGUCUAUUAUCAAAUAACGAAAUUUGAGAAUUUCCUUUUAGCCCCGAAAAAAUAAAAAAUUUCUGAAUAACAUCUAUGGGAGGGCAAUCAAAGGAAAACUUACCAACAAGAGCCAAUUUAAAAGGCUCAGCCAUCUAUCGAAUUUCCGCAGUGGGGAAAUGGACGGCUAGUUCACCUUUGUGCAACUGAACCCAUUUCAUAGGAAUUGAUGAAGCAGUAGAACCAGUCACGACAUGUACAAAAUACUUUUGUAGUCUUGAAGUGGCACUAGAGUUGAGGACGGUGAUCGGGUUGAGAGUCGAAGCAUAUGGAGACUUGGGGUUGAAGCUGAUGCCAUGGUUUGGGGGGUUGGGUUGGAGGAAUGGGUUUGGGUAGUCACACGAGUUAGGUCAUUACUGUUGAAAUAAAGAAGGAAUAAGACACUAACGCAAAUCACACUCCUCUGCACCUAUUAGGAUGAGAGGAAUUUAAAAUAGAGGUUGAUAGUUCAAAAGAUAGAUAAUUGUCACGGGAUGAGUGUUUUGCGCAGCUAACCCGUGCGGCACUUAGACAACUUUGCCAAAUGUUGCUAAGUAAGCCUAGAGCUUCUCGAACUAGAGAAGAGAGCAAUUGAGCCAAAGAAGAAACUUGUAUUGCACAAAGAGAGAUUACAAUGCUUGUUGUUGAGUUUGUUGGAUACAAAUGCCUAAUGCCAUCCCAUAUUUAUAGGGAAGGCUUGCCAAGCUCUAGAGAUUCUAGAGAAUUCUACCACUUCCUAGCUAUUUACAUGUGCUGGAAUUCUAUGGAGAAUUCUAGAGUAUUUACAAGCUCAUGUGCUAGAGUUGCCUAGAAUGUUCCGGAAUUGGGCCAAGCUAGCACUCUUGGCCUUGUGUUGGCUCUCUAGCCCGAAAUUGUGGGCAAUUGGGCUAGCGAAUUGGGCGGUCCGCAACAUAAUGCUGUAUGUUUUGUUGUAGAAGUUGAAUGAUUAUUAUUUAAUGGCAACAAACUAUUAUAUAGUGCUAAACAUAACAAACUCCUGUGCAAAUCAGGAGUCACUAAUGCAACUAACAGCCCCACAACUCACAAAGCAAGGAUAUACUCAAAUACACCAAAUCGUGGACUUCCUAAACACAAGGAACCACUUACAACGUUGUUAUUGACUUGGACUAAAAUCAUUGCAAGAUACUAGGACUAACCAUUACUAUUUUUACAUUAACGUUAACACUCCCCCUUAAUGUAGAAACUUGACAACUCCCAAAUUAUCCCUGAAAUUAAGGAACUUCUCCAAAGACAGAGGAUUUGUAAAUACAUCAGCUAGCUGCUCAUCAGUACUGCAAUAGGACAUCUUGAUGCUUCCACUUUCCACCAAC
rnacentral:lncRNA from 1 species